UAAAUCUCUCUUUUGUGGUAUUUCUGGAUCCUUACCAAGGUAGUGAUGGUAUAUGCCUUCUCUCAAGAUAUGUGGUAUUUGUGGUAUAAGGCAUAGUGACAUUGCCUUCUCUCUCACCCUACUCUAAUAAGGCUUUAAUAUCUGGAGCUCAUAGGUGGGAGAUAAAGUAUACAUACUUACAAGACAUUUAUUGUAUAGUCAAACCAUGGAUCCAAAGAAACAAAUCAAUAAGCCAAAUCAAGAUGUGCAUGUGUGGCGAAUGAAUGGUGUAUGGUGAUGAUGGUAAUAACAAUGGUGAAAGUCUAAUUCUACUUUUGCUCUUUUGAGGGGAUACAUACCUUUCUUGCACUUUGAAGCUUUUUGGGGAGAAUGAGAUGCUCUAUAUUUUUCUUUCCUCUCAGGUAGGUAUCUUGUACCCCUAAUUCUACUGUUGGACACUUGUCCAUUUUUACCUCUUGUCUCACUUUUUCUUUCUUUCGAGGUUCCGGGCACUUGUCCCUUUUUAUUUCCUCGUAUAUAUAUAUAUAUAUUUUAUCUUUCUUCCUUUUUUUUAGAGCACUCAUCUCUUGAGAUAAUAUAGCAAGUGGUAGUAACCAAAAUAUUUGGAGCAUUUAUUUUACAGGGGAUAACAGGGAUAGGAAAAUGUUUUUGACUAUUCUCUCCCGGAUUAGGAGUAGAAUAUUUUUGGGUGAUUCUGGAGAUGGAAAUGGAUGGAUAUAUGUGGAUGGUACUUCCGGAGUAGAAGCAGCAUAUAUGAGUGAACGUGCAAGUGAAUCUUGAUUUAACCACAUGACAAGCUCCUAAGGGUCUACACAGCUUGACCACACUCAAUGCUCAUAAGCAGUAAAUACUAAAUGUGUGGCUCAAAGUCUAGCAAGCAUGUAUAUAUGGCUGUGGUAGGAAUUUAAACUCUCAUCAUACAGGAACUCAUCAUGCAAUAUUUUAAAGAUUUUUCAAGAUAAAAUUUUCCAGAAUUCUAGCAUCUCUAGGAACAGAUAAACAGCAGCUCAACCUUCCCAUAUCAUAUCCGUUAACAUCUUGGAUUUCAGAUCAAGUUUUCAUCCCACAAGUUUAGAUCUAGAGCAAGCUUUAAAUUAUAACAGUUAUGUCUAAACUUGAGAGGGAACUUCAAAAUUGCAAAUUAGGCAGAGCAACUAUAUCCAUGCUAGAGUUUUAUUAUUAAGAUUCAGAUUUGCAUAGCCACUUUAUUUAUUUAUUAAACAUACUAAGCAAAAGAUAUAUAUAAGCACAAAAUCUUUAUUUUGUUUUUUUUGUAGUUAUGUAUAUUUAUAUUCUAAUAUAAUAUAAGUAUAAAGAUAGGUAGAAAUACUUAGCGAGAUAAAUGGGGGUGCUCUCCCCCAAGCUGAAUUUUGACGUAAUUUCUCCUGAUGUAGCUAGCAGGUGGCAGAGGUGUAUUUGAAAGUCAGCAGCAUUCUGACAGCGAUUAGAAUGUCCUCCGUCUGCUAGUCUUCUUGAUUCUUAAAUUUUACGGAGCUCAAAUAGACAACAAAGCUUGUGGAACUAAGUGUUAGCAUAAAUAUCUAGCCUUCAUCAUGUUGAGCUUCCUUAAUAAAUGUUAUUUAUUUAGCAGGAUCAUACACUUAUUAUUAUAUAUAUAUAUAUUUUUAUAUAUAUAUUUUUAUUAUAAGAUGAAAACUUAUUUAUUUUAUUUUUAUGCCACCACAGUGAAUGUACUUAUGGGUUUUAUGCCAUGAGCAUACUCACAUGGGGCUUACUAUUUUUUAACAUUUUUAUUUUCUUCUCAAGAUAGCAUGAACCUGAUUAACUAAGCAAAUUAUAAUUGAAUAAUUGAAAGGAAAGGGUAACUACCAAGUUUACCUCUUGGCAAGGCGUUAGGUAUUUUUAUGUCCUCCGAACGGGACUCUAUGUUUUCUCAGUCGUCCUGGGAUUCGCUAGGUGGCGUAGUCGGUGAUUCCGGCGGCGCCUCUCUUCAUGUAUAACUAUCUUCUCCCUCCACACCUGACUCGGUGCUACGGUCUCCUCAGGACAGUUCUGUUCACGCUGUAUGUCUUCAGUCCUUGUCACUUCUCCUUCGUAGUCUACCCAUCCGUUCUUGAUGAUUUGCCUCCUCUGGUUGCGGUUGCGUCGUCUUCUUGUCCUGACCUGCUUAGAUUCUUCAACUAUAUAGUUAUGGUUAGUAAAAUAGUUGCGUACCUUCUUAGAGGGGAAGUACAUGUGGACUUCUCCGGUUCCAAUGUAGAUGAUUGCUUUGAUAGUGUUGAGGAACGAUCUUCCAAGGAUGGUGGGUGGAUCAUAUUCGUCUUCUCCCAUGUCAAUGACCUGAAAAUCAUCUGGAGCUGAAUAUAUUGGUUGUAGGGGCAUGGUUCCAUGCAGGAGCUGAUAAGUGACUGCGGCCAUUAUGUUGUCGUCAGAUCCAGUGUCGUAGAGUGUCUUCUGAAAAGAGUAUCCAUUGAUUGCGCACUCGAUGCUUGGAACACCAGGGUCGUCCUUCUUGAUCAAGAAAGGUGACUUGAGUCGACGAUGUUGACCUCUUCCGACAAGGAUCCAAUGUUUUAAGUCUUCUGGAUAAGACUUUCCACCAUCUUCAUCCUUUAGGUGCAUCAUUUGAUUAGGUGUGGACCUUGACGUCUGCACCUCUUGAUACGGUGUCACCCAUGUUCUUCUUUGCCCAGCAGUUCGAAGUAUGGUGUUGGCAAUAUUCUGCUUAGUGUGUUUGUGCUCAUAGAUCCAGGUCCUUCACUUGGUGGAGUCUAGGAGUUGUAAAACUCCUCCAUGUUUUGCUUGAAGUGUACCUGUUCAUAGAGACAAGGCAGAGAUCAAGUGCAUGGGCUCUGUUGGUGGAAGACACCAACAGAACCAAAAGUGUAUUUGUUCUUCUCUAACCUUAAGCAUAGUGAGCAAGACAAAGUUGAUGGAUAAUAAGAUAAUGAGUGUAGUAUUUGAAACAUUUGUCAGAUCAGAUGGCUCAACCUAAUGGAAAGAUAAUCUAUCUAUAUUUAUGUUUUGUUUAUAUCAAAUAUUGAAUGUGCAACAUAUUAGCUUAUAUGUUUAGGAGCGUGGGAUCACGAAGGUAGUACUAAGAACAAAGAUUAAAGCACUAAACAUGUUGAAUUGAUUGAGUUGGUUAAUCUGGAGUUAUAAAGCAUACAUGUUUGUCUCUUUAUUUAUGUGAAUGCUAGAACCAAGGAGAAGCUUAUAAAAGCGAUAGUCAAGUACCUUAAGGUGUUACCUUACUUGAAGAGUGACGGUACAGUAUCACCUUGUGGAAGCUUUCCUUUCUUAGCGGUUGUGCACCGUGUUUGUGGCACUCUUUGUCUCGUUCCAUGGAUCAUCUCUCUAUGAUGAAUGAGCUAUGUCUUCUUUGUGCAAAUCGUUAAACUUCAUGUGUCUCCUUUGUCUCCAAUGUGAGUUUGUAUCUCAGGACUUCCCAGGUUGAUAUUGAAAGUUUUCUGCAGGGGUUAGUCCGACAAAAUAUCCCAUAUCUACUAUAGCAUACUAUCGGCUUAAAAAUCAACCUAGACACCAUGUCUAAUUUGAUUUAGAAGGGCAUUUUAACCUAAGCACCAUGCUUAAUUUAAAACCCCUUGGAAGUAAGAUCAUCAUUCCUAAACUAAGCACCAUGCUUAAUUAAGAGAUAAAUGAAACUAUUCCAAACCUAGACAUAUACUAAAGCAAAUAAAGGUAGCAUGAGAGCAUUUAUAGAGAUCUACUUAAGUGGAGAUGAAGUAGUGUAAUUAGUAUUUAACAAAUUGAGCAUGUCUCAAAGGUAAGGACAACCAACGUAGCAACAUGGCAAAAGAUGUUUUUAUGUAAAGUACUCCCCCAAGCUUGAAUUUUACAAAAUUCAAGUUUGGAUGUAUUUAAUUCAAUGUUGUGUGAUGGUUGGUUGGACAUACCCUGUGCUUGUCAUUCAUCCGAUCUUCUUGCUCCAAUCCUGGAAAGGUUAGUGACAAGAAUACCCGAAGUAAUAUUUCUACAAUUAUCUUUAUAUGCUCAAUACACAAAGUAAUGUUGCAAAUAAUUAGAAGUUCAUGUUAUGAUCUGAUAAGUGCUUGUUUUAGGACACUAAGCUUGUUCUUGGGAAACCAUCAAGUUAUGUUGGUGAAGUGGUUUCCCCUCCAACACCUACCUAUAUCAAGAUCAACUCAAUGAGAUCUGCAAUAUUUAUUAUAGACAUAUGCAUCGACAACCGCCCUUUUAAAGUUUUUAUAAAUGAAGAGGAAGAGGGGGUUGGAGAUCUCAAAUGUGGUAAGGAUGGAGAGACAAAUUGAUUGGAGAGAUGUUUUAUAUGAGCAAGGACUGGGUGAGGUAUUUAUGAAAUAACUUCCAUGCUCACUGUUGUUUCUCUCAUUCUUAAACUCCAAGGAUGAUUCUUCAUGAAUGCUUAAAAUUCCUCUAGGAUUGUCUCUCAAGUUUGUUUUAUCUAUCCAUUCAAUGGUGAUAGCCCAUGGAUUUUUAAUGCCCUCUAGCCAUUGAUGUUGCUCUUCUCGAUCCUCCUUCUUAUGCAUGGGAUGUCUAGAGAGAUUCAUAGGAUUAUUGGGAGGUUCAAGAGAAAAAGCAUAGUAGAAAUUAUUAAGCUCAAGGAUGGGAUGGAUAGCCGAAUUAUGGGAUUGAAAUGUUUGGAAAUCGGCUAUUGAAACUUCCUUUCCUCGUCUGGGAGAUGAUUCCUUCUCUAUCUCUAAGAUUAUUCUAUGAAGACUAGUACAAGAAGGAUGUCCACGAAUGAAGACAUACCUUCCUUUACUAAUAGAUAAAGAAAGAAGGACUCUACCAAAGGUUAUAUGAUUAAGACCAAUGUGAAAAUAUCUAGGAAAAACAUGGUCUUGUAGGGCUAGGUCUAAACCAGAAUUUAUAGAAAGAUUAACAGAUUCCCUAGGUGUGGCUAAAAGUGCAUUAUCUUCUUGAUUAAAAGAUAGGACCUCAGCUAUAGAAAAGGGUUGGUUUUGACCUAUUGCAAUCAACUCCGGACACAGAUCAUAAUUAGGGGCAGGACGUGUUGACUCCCAUGGUCUAUGGCUGGUCUCCGAAGGUUUAAAGAAUUUAAUAAUAGGUAUGGAAUUUGAGUUAUCCAUAAAGAUAAAAAUAAAAAGAUAAAAGAAUAAAAGUAUAAAAGUAUAAUACAAGAUAAUAUCAAGAAUCAAAGUUAUCUCAGCAAACCGUCUUUCUCCCCGGCAACGGCGCCAGAAAUGCUUGUUGAUAUUUGGUAACGCAAUAAGGAAAUGAUCCGCAAGCGCAUGGAUAUUGGUGAGCAUUUCACCCGGGAGGUUAUCCAGAGUUAUCGUAUUUAUAUUUUUACCACUGGGAGAAAGGGUGCAUCUGACUAACCAAAUCUAUUGCUACUAUCCCUUUAGGCACAAAGAAUGUCUUUCGAUGUGAGUGAUAAAUAGAGAAGACUGCAACCGUAGUCUCCUUCUAACCUUGGUAAGGAUGAUCUACUGUUCUAAUGGGGAGGCUAACGGAAUCUAGACAACACAAAGGAUGUUCAACCCGCACCUAUAAACCCUAUCCUUCCUGCUAACGAGAUGUGAUCUGCAAAGGUAGCUCGGAAUUGUCACGUUCCUCACUACUACCACGGUCCAGCUAGUCAGGGAAUAUCUAUGAGUACCCCAGCCUAAACACCACGUUUACGCCAGCAAUGAUUACUCUAAACUCUACGCGAAGAGAUUAAAGUAAACUCAUAAACCAUAAGAACAAUAAAACAAGAACUUACUAGAAUUUAGAAGUCGAAUUACUGAAGAAUCCUAGGAGCAAGCUUCGGGUUAGGAGAACUUGAUCCCGCAGGUACAAGCUUGGAGUAGACACCGACAUGCCGGGCUUCCUCCAAUCUACACCUCCACUCUAUCUCUCUCAAUCUAGUAGAAACUAGAAGAUCUAUUUCUACCUUACAUUGGUUGCUAAGCCUAAAAAGAAAUAUUAAUUAGAGAAGAGGUUUUCCUUCGAGGGCACCCCUCAGUCUCUAUGAUAAUUUCUUCAUGUCUUCUCCAGGGGCCAGGGUGGUCUCCUUAUAUAGUCCUCCCCUUCUAUGCGUUUUUGGGUCGGUAGGCAAUGUGGUACUAUGUUAUUCUGGAUCCAAUAGGUCGGUGGAGAUCUCCCGAGAGACAGAGUCCUGAUUGGGCUCGGCAGGUGGGCGGGCGCCCAAGGAAACUGGGUGGGCGCCCAGGUCCUGGCCCCGUUUCGCCUCCGCUUCGGUCUCGUGGCUUCUGGAGUCUUCUAGGUGGUAGAAAAUUGCGCGGUGCGUUGAUAUCUCUAUGUAAUCCUGACAUGUGGGCCUUUCUUCCUUAUUUCCUGAUAACCCCCUGCAGAAAUAGAGAAACACCAAAACUCAUGGAAUUCUGUCAGAUAAAACCCUAAGUCUGGGUGUUGGUUAUAUUUGGAUCCUUUUCUUUAUUUAUUUGAUAAUUAAAUUUGAUACUUAAGGACUGUCAACAACUAUGCUCUUUUUCUUGAACCUCCCGAUGAUCUUAUGAAUCUCUCUAGACAUCCCAUCCAUAAGAGUCACCAAGACCACAAGGAGGAUCGAGAAUAGCAACAUCAAUGGCUAGAGGGCAUUAAAAAUCCAUGUGCUAUCACCAUUGAAUGGAUGGAUAAAACAAACUUGAGAGACAAUCCUAAAGGAAUUUUAAGCAUUCAUGAAGAAUCAUCCUUGGAGUUUGAGAAUGAGAGAAACAACAGUGAGCAUGGGAGUUAUUUCAUAAAUACCUCACCAAGUCCUUGCUCAUAUAAAACAUCUCCCGAAUCAAUUGGUCUCUCCAACCUUACAACAUUUGAGAUCUCCAACCCCGUCUUCCUUUCUAUUUAUAAAAACUUUAAAGGCGUGGUUAUCGAUGCAUAUGUCUAUAAUAAAUAUUGCAGAUAUCGUUGAGUCGAUCUUGAUAUAGGCACGCUUAGGUUGGUGUUGGAGGGGAAACCACUUCACCAACAUAAUUUGAUGGUUUCCCAAGGACAAGCUUAGUGUCCUAAAACAAGCACAUAUCAGAUCGUAACAUGAACUUUUAAUUAUUUGCAACAUUGCCUUGUGUAUUGAGCAUAUAAAGAUAAUUGUAGAAAUAUUCCUUCGGGUAUUCGUGUCACUAACCUUUCUAGGAUUGGAGCAAGAAGAUCCGAGGAAUGACAAGCACAAGGUAUGCCGAACCAAUCAUCAUGCAAUAUUGAAUUAAAUUCAUCCAAUCUUAAAUUUUGCAAAAUUCAAGCUUGGGGGAAAUACCUUACAUAAGAACAUCCUUUGCCAUGUUGCUAUGUUGGUUGUCCCUACUUUUGAGGCAUGCUCAAUUUUUUCUAAACACUAAACUUAUUUUUCAUCUCCACCUGAGUAGAUCUCUAUAAAUACUGUCAUGCUACCUUUGUCUAUUCACAAGCAAGUGUUGGUUUGGAAGUACUCGACAUAUUUCCAUUAGCAUUUAAAUUAAGUGUGGUGCUUAGGUUAAAUAGCCUUCCUUAAUCUGAUUAGACAUGGAGUCUAGUUUGGUUACUGAACUAAAAAUUGCUUGAGUAGACAUUGGUAUAUUUUGUCGGACUAACCCCUGCAGAAAACUUUCAAUAUCAACCUAGGAAGUCCUGAGAUACAAACUCACAUUGGAGACAAAGGAGACACAUGAAGUUUAACGAUUUGCACAAAGAAGACAUAGCUCAUUCAUCAUAGAGAGAUGAUCCAUGGAACGAGACAAAGAGUGCCACAAACACGGUGCACAACCGCUAAGAAAGGAAAGCUUCCACAAUGUGAUAUUGUACCAUCACUCUUCAAGUAAGGUAACAUCUUAAGGUACUUGACUAUCACUUUUAUAAGCUCAUUGGUUUUGGCGUUCACAUGAAUAAAGAGACAAACAUAAAUUAACCAACCCAAUUAAUGCAACAUGUUUAGUCCUUUAAUCUUUGUUCUUAGUACUACAUUCGUGAUCCCACACUCCUAAUAAUAUAAGCUAAAAUGUUACACAUUCAAUCUUUGGAAGAUAUAAAAAACAUAAAUAUAGAUAGAUUAUCUUUCCAUUAGGUCGAGCGAUCUGAUCUGACAAAUGUUUUAAAUGCUACACUCAUGAUCUUAUUAUCCAUCAACUUUGUCUUGGUCACUAUGCUUAAAGUUAGAGAAGAACAAAUAUACUUUUGGUUCUGUUGGUGUUUUUCACCAACAGGGCCCAUGCAUUUGAUCUCUGCCUUGUCUCUAUGAGCAGGUACACUUCGAGCAAAACCUGAAGGAGUUUUACAACUCCCAGAUUCCACCAAGUGAAGGACUUGGAUCCACGAGCGCAAACACACUGAGCAGGAUGCUGCCAAUGCCGUACCUCGAACUGCUGAACAAACGAAGAACAUGGGUGACACCGUAUCAAGAGGUGCAGAUGUCAAGGCCCACACCUAAUCAAAUGAUGCACCAAAAGGAUGAACACGGUGAGAAGUUUUGUCCAGAAGACUUAAAACAUUGGAUCCUUGCUGGAAGGUAAAAUCGGUAUUUAUCCAUAUUUAAAUUUUCUCCAUUCCUUUUCCAUUUUAUUCCAUCACUUGCAUUAGCAUAUUUACUUUUCCACAUUAGCAUUAGAAAAGAAAACAAAAAUAUUUGUUCGUUGCACUGCAUCAUAAAACCAGUAAGACCCAUGUGAGUAUACAAGUGGCAUAAAACCCAUAAGAAUAAUAAAAUAAAAAUAUUCUUCUGCUCUAUAAAAAUGAAAAUAUAAAAAUAAAAUUGCGAUCCUACCAAAGAAAGUAGCAUUUAUUGAGGAGGCUCAACAUGAUAAAGGCUAGAUAUUUAUGCUAACAUCUAAUCAGUUCCACAAAGCUUUGUUGUCUAUUUAAGAUCCACAGAAUUCAAGGAUCAAGAAGACUAGCAGACGGAGGACAUUCUAAUCGCUGUCAGGGUGCUGCCGACAUUCAAAUACACCUCCACCACCUGCCAGCUACAUCAGAAGAAAUUAUGUCAAAAUCCAGCUUGGGGGAGAGCACCCCCAUCUAUCCCGCUAAGUAUUUCUAUCCACAUUUAUACUUAUACUAUAUUAAAAUAAAAAAUAUAGAUAACCAUGAAAAACCAAAUAUAUAUAUAUAUAUAUAUAUAUAUAUAUAUAUAUAUAUAUAUAUAUAUAUAUAUAUAUAUAUAUAUAUAUAUAUAUAUAUAUAUAUAUAUAUAUAUAUAUAUAUAUAUAUAUAUAUUAAAUUUUUCCUACUCCCUUAGAGUAGGCUAAACCAAUAUAUAUAUAUAUAUAUAUAUAUAUAUAACUAAUAGCCUGUAGCUAGCUAUAGAAUGAUCUAUUUUGUAGCCGGACCCAAACUGCGGCCACAAACAGGUAACGUCCAGCCCCUCAGAAUCUGAGUUGCAUGCAUGGCUGAUGGCUCAAUUAUUAGCUGAUAAUAAUUCGCCUUCCAAACCGGCCAUGUCCCCUAAAUCACCGCCCAUAAACACCGCAACGCGGUUGUUUAUUUAACUAACCAGAAAACCACCGUGUCACUCUAUUUGCUUCGUCCUCCACCCGGCUAAUCCCGUCUGAAUGGCCGAUGACAACAGUGGCAGGGCCUGGUGCUAUCAUCAUCAACACCGGUGACACCUUCAUAUCAUAGCUCGUUGACUGCUAGGUGCCAUGGUCGACGGUUGUGCUGAUCACCGGCGGGGCAGAUCCACGCAUGGCGGCCUGGCCGAUGUCCGCGUCCGCCCGCUGCUAAAUCAAGGACCAGGCGGAUCUCCUAUUGCAGUUCAGCAUGUGAGCACCACCUCUGGCCAUGCGCGACGGCAGCCCACUCGUGUGAGCGCCCGUGCACGGGAGAUGAGCGACAUCAUCAUCCUUGCUGCCGUCGCUUGUUGUGCCCUUUGUCUCGUCACCAUGGGCGCGUCGCCGACACCUGGCCAAAGCACUAUCGUGGAAGCUGCAGUGGCCCUUCUCACCUUCCUCUUUGCGAUUCGCAGAUCCAUGGUUCUGCAAGGUCAGUCAACGAGCUACGCAAUGCCAUAACAGAAAUUCGGCAUCUGCGUGAAGAUUCAGCAUCCUCCUUGAUUUGUUCUCCUAGCUUCUCCGGUCUCAGCUGGUCACUCGGAUUCAUGCAGAUGCAAAUUCGCUGCCAUCCAUGCUAUUUUUUUUGGUCAAAAUUUCUUGCCGUCAUGCAGAUGCGAUUUAGUUCAUCAUUCUUUACCGGAUCAACAGAUCAACAGUUGCUGUUUGCAAGCUUGCCGCUGGGCAUGGGGGUUAUAUAUAUAUAUAUACUAUUCUACACUCUAGGUGUAGAAUACUAUUCUACACCGAACCAUUAUACUGAACAAAAUUCAGUAUCAUUCAGUAUUCGUGUUUCAGUAUUGUUCAGUAUUUCUUGGUCGUAAGUGUAGUAUGAGAUGAUACUGAAGGUUGUUCAGUACUGCUCAGUAUUUUUUCUAUUCAGUUUUGACUAGGGUGUAGUGUAGAAUGGCGCUACCGUAUAUAUAUAUAUAUAUAUAUAUGAUUUUUCAUAGUUUUGUUUAGCCCCUGAACAAUGUGAAAUGUUACAAUGUGUAAUCCAAAGCCAUGGAAGCUCUAUAUGAUUUAAAACACCUUUUUUUCUCUCAAAUUUUGGAUGCAAAUACAUUUUCUUGAUAUUCCUACAUGUUCCUUGUUGGAUUGUCAACCUCUAACUUGAUUAUUCCUUUGUCAAAAAAAAAAAACUUGAUUAUUCGCUGCAUGUAUGUCCAGACUGUUUUUUUUUUUCGUUGCAUAUGUAUGUCCAGAUUGGUGUCUCUACUGUGUAACUUGUCGAAUACCAACUAUCAUUCACUACCAGACAAUUCAAUAAUUUGCAGAAAUCUCGUAAAUAGAUUAUGUAACUACAUGGUUAGAAAUAUAUUUUAGUAAAUCAAUUUAAAAAUUUCUCGUGAAUCAUGCCACGGGGGUUAGAAAGGAAUAGAUUGUAGCAAAUAUUUUUCAAAAACCUAGUAAAUAGAAUAUCGUAACUACCAGGGGCAGCAAGGCAUAGAUUCUAGUAACCAAUAUGCAAAUUUAGUAAACAGUUUAUGGUGAGGCAACAUAUAUUCUAGUAAAUCAUUUAAAAUAACAAGAUUAUGGUAUUGUGAAUCAGACAGAUUAUUGUAACUACUCAAAUCAUAGUUAAUUACUACAAUGAUCCUUUCCAGUUCUCUAUCGAAUAUUUCAUGGUAAAAUUAAUCUCAUAUAUCAUGUUAAAUUCCAGUUCUACAAAUUCCUAUCCUAAUUAUCAUCUCGAGACAUUCAAAACACAGUAACUAUUUCUAUCGUAAAAUGAUCUAGAUGUUAUAGUAAUCAGUUAACAGAAACCAUUUGAUGUCAAUUUUGUGGUAAAUUUCCGUGCUAAUUGUCGUAACAAGCUAUCAUUUGCAUGCGCCUGGAACAUUUGCGUGCUAAUUAUAGUAACUAGAAUAUAUUUUCUACUUUUUUUUUUGUGGACAAGGUAUGUUGGAGUAUUACCGUAACAAGAAAAUGCAUUUGCACCUAGCCAAAUUAAGCGUGCUAAUUAUAGUAACUUGGAUGCAUGAAGCACUAAUCAUGCUUGUAAUUUGCAUGCAUAUCGCAGGGUUGAAUGACCGAAAUCACCGUGAGCUAAUUACGUGGGCGUCGUUUAAUGCAGGUCGGACCAGGAGGCAGAAGCGCAUUAGCCAUGCAAGCGCCUGGACCCGGCACGUCUGUUCGGACCUGGCUACAAAAUAAAAUGGUCUGUAGCUAGCUAGCUACAGAGUAUACUAUAUAUAUAUAUAUAUAUAUAUAUAUAUAUAUAUAUAUACACACACACGAUGUCCUCUUUGCAGAAGGACGGGCCGUUUCAUGAGCCGCUGCUCCUAUCAACGCAGAUCAGACGUCGAAGUCUCUAACGAGCUUUUUCGGCCAAACCGUCAUGUUCCAAAAGAUGUGAACAGGGAGGACUGUUUGGUGACAGCCCGAGGAGGCGGCGGUGGUGGAUCCAAGGGAGGAGGCGACGGCAUCGGGCACAUGAAUGAAACAGAUAGGAUGGAGAGAGAGAGAUAGAGGGAGGAGAGAGGAAGUCGCGUCGUGGCACUAUAUAGGGCCCUGCCAUGUGGUGGAGGUGGCAUGACAAUGCUAUGCUAAUAUCUAUGGUGCGGCAACGCUGCCACGUCAGCCAAUUUGGGUCUAGGCUCGUGCCAAGUCAUCACCGCGGCCACGCCACACCAUGCAAUAGACACAAACAAAAGUGUUAGAUUUGUAAAUAAAAAAUAGUGUCAAAUUUGGAAAUAGUUUUAAAAAAGGGUUAGAAAUAAAAAUUUUCCAUCUGAGGAUGGCAAUAGUGAGAGUGGUCAACUGAAAUUGUCCUAACAUUGAUUGGCCAUCGAUUAAGAAAAGUUCUAAAUUUACAGGAUACCUAUAAGUUGGAGCCAACCAAUUUGGCUGCCAUUUAUAAGGGCUGGGAUAAGGUAAAAGGAAACUAAUUAAGCCAACAAAGAGUACCUCACAUGGGUUCUAAAUGUGUUAUGCAUUAAUAAAUGGCCUAAAGUGUGGCUAUAAUAAUAUACCUUUAUCCAUGACUUGCUUGUUGGUAGUGAUCGGUUUUUCUUGAUUAUCAUGCAUCGAUACAGGAGUCCUUUUUCUCUAUAUAUAAGGCAAUGUAUGGGUCAAUUAAAAAAAAUUCUAAACUUACAACAUACCUAAGAUAGAACCAACCAUUUUGGCUAGCAUUUAUAAGGGCUGGGAUAAGGGAAAAGGAAACUAAUUAAGCCAACAAAGAGUACCUCACAUUGGUGCUAAAUGUUAUGGAUUAAUAUAUGACCUAAAGGAUGACUAUAACAAUAUAAGUUUAUCCAUGACUUGUUUAUUUGUAGUGAUCAAUUUUUUCCUAAUUAUCAUGCAUCCAUAGAGGAGUCCUUUUCCCCUAUAUAUAGAGGCAAUGUAGGUCGAUUAAGAAAAAAAAAUAAACUUACAAGAUACCUGAGUUAGAACCAACCAAUUUGGUUGACAUUGAUAAUGGCUGGGAUAAGGAUCUAAUUAAGCCAGUAAAGAGUACCUCACACUUUUGCCCUAUAUAUAGGAGCAAUGUAUGGGUCGAUGCAUCUCAUUCCAGUAGAACACAUCUCCCAAGAACAUACAACAAAGUGUUUUGUUCCUUAGAGCAGUCCCUAUGGUUGAAACUACGCACGUUUUUCAUAGUGCCACGUCAACAACAAAUCAUCUAUAGAAACUAUUCCACACAAUGGAAGUUUCUUUCCCUAAUAAAUAUUGUAUUUAUUUUUUGUGUUUCUCUCUCCGUCACAUCAUCUUCUUCCUGGCACUAUGGCAAGUUCGUGCUUAGCCAACGAGAAAAACAUGGACGAGCCUCGCCCGCCCUCCACCUCGCCACGCAGCGCCGCGUCCUUGCACCUAUCAAUGUCAUGGAGCCAAGUCGCGGCUGGAGAGCAGUGGUGCAGGUGAACGAGCGUGACAGUCGGCCGGCGAGCGUGGCGGCGAGGGCAAACGAGCACAGCAGUGCAGGCGAGCAAGCACGCCGAUCGGCAAGCAAGCGCAGCGAUGCGGGCGACGAAGAAACUGCUCGGCACGACAGCAUGCGCGACGGCGUGCGGCCUUCACGGCAGUGGCGGUGGCGGUAGCUUGCUGCAUGGAGGCUCGGCCUUCGCGACAGCGAGCGCAAUAGCAACGCAACCUUCGCGGCGACCUGCAUGGUCUUGCUGCAACAGAUCGGCCUGCUACAUGGACGGGCGAUGGCCUACUGCAUCGAUGGUGCGACCUUCCCCAACGGCGGCAUGCAGCCCUAUCAUGGGCCCCACCAGUAGACACGACUCGUUUCUUCUCAACGGGAAAGUUACGAUUUCUUACUGCAUCGAUUAACGAGUAGACCUGGUUUCUUGGUUAGGAGACGGUUUCCUCAAUUUUUUUUCUCUUUUUUUAUUAAUUAGACUGCCAUGUCAGCUUUUUGCUUAGUUGGCAAGAUAUUUAUUAGGGAUAGAAACUACUAUUAAUAUCCCAUUGUCCCAUUGGGACUGCCCUAAGGGACACAGAAUGCAGAAUGGCGCACUAGUACUACUUUCACUGCUGGUCCUUGGGUGCUUUUCCAUUCAAGUGGCAUGUAAGUGAAAUAAAUCAAAAUGUUUUUUCCUCCAUUAUCUCCUCAUUUAAUUGCUCGAGUAGCUGAUAUUUUUCCUCUACCAUUCAAACAAAAUACAAAUUGCUGAAGACAUAUAUGUUUCUUUCUGUUGUAAUUAAGAUAAACUAAACAAGGGCCCAUUAUAACUAUUGAUUUUAUGCUUAUGACAGAUGUUUCUGUGCUUGUGUAUGUAAUUUAACAGAUUGAUUCACAUUACAUGCUUGAAAAAUAGGUGGAACAACGAUGGAUGAAAUGAGUACCCAGAAAGUUACUAUACAAAAAUGGACGUGCUACCAUGGUGGCAUACUUUGCAAUUCAUUGACUGGGAAGUGCUGGUGCUGCCUCGGGGGUGAAGGUUAUUGCUAUGUGAACAAAAGUGAAUGUGAAGCAAAUUGUCAUGCCAAAUGAACAAUUAAAUCUCCAAAUAAUGCAAUUACUAUGUGAAGAGUGAGCUGUGAAUGAACAAUGGGAAUAAAAUGUUUAGGCUCCGAGUGCUCCAUUUGUCAACGGUUUCUUUUAUUGGCUCAUAUAUCAUGUAUACCAAAUGUGCUUAUUUUGAGUAAUGAUGAGGAGUCCUCGUGCAGCUAUUGUGUUGAAUGUACUCUACCCUAAUUAUUCUGAAACAUUUAAGCCAAUAUAAUGAAAUGCCAAUGCAAUAACACUAAAAAGAAAUUUCGACACUGUCACACCCUAAAAUUUUUAGUUUGGAUCGUGCCUAAAAAAUGAUAAAUAAAAGAAAUGAAGUUUAUAUUUUCUAAAAUUUUCAUUUUGUAAUAUUCUAAUGAGAGUUCAAGCUCUGGUUUAUCAUUGAGCCAUGUCACAAGAAAAGUUUGGUCAUCGUUGGAUCCCUAUGCUAGUUUUGAUCAAACGGACAGAUCAAAACCAGCAUAGGGAUCCAAUGAUGACCAAGCUAUUCUAGUGACAUGACCCAAUGAUAAACCAGAGCUUCAACUCUCAUUGGAAUGUUACAAAAUGAAAAUUUUAGAAAAAUAUAAACUUCAUUUGUUUUAUAUAUGAUAUUUUAGGCACAAUCCAAACUAAAAAUUUUAGGGUGUGACACUAUUGAACUUUCUUUUUAGUGUUAUUGCAUUGGCAUUUCAUUAUAUUGGCUUAAAUGUUUCAGAAUUGGUGGUGGUGGUUGAUGCCCAAACGUGACGGUUUGGCCGAAAAAGCUCGCUAGAGACUUCGACGUCUCAUCUGUGUUGAUAGGAGCAGCGGUUCAUGAAACGAGUUGUACUUCUGGAAAGACGUACUUCUGGAAAGAGGACAUCGAGGAGAACAUUGGCAUAUAUAUAUAUAUAACUAGGGUUGUCAUGGAAAAAUUGAAUAUUUUAUUAUUUACGGAAUUAAUGAAUUUUGAGAUUAAAAUAAUUCUAGGAAAGUUCAGAAUUAAUUUUUAAGCCCCAAAAAAAACUGAAGGGUCCAAAAUUUUGGAAACAAUUCUUAGAAACAUUUUAGAACAUGAGGAGCCCAAAUAAAGUAUUUAGAGCUCAUGAAAAGAUAUCUAGGAGUAUCUCAAAAUUAGAUUAUGCCCGGAGAAAAGCAAGAAAAAAUUCUAGAAAAAAACUAGACAAAUUCGUGAGGAGUUUUUAAAGGACGACUAAUGGAAGAUGCGCUCGCAGAAUUUGUUUAAAGUUGAAUAAGAGGAUAUGAAAACUCCAAAUGAAAAGGCAUGCUUAAUUAACACCCUAAAUUUUGCUCUUUUGGAAAUAUUUAAUGUUUUCAUCACCCUGAAAAGAUUUGUUGAUGAGCAAAAUAUUUAAUUUACUAUACAAUUAAUAAUGUUUAGUGUAUAUGUAAACAGUUUAAAAAUCUAAACCUAAAAAACAGGAUCACAGGCCCUUUAGCACCGGCCCAUGGUUAAAACCGGUGCUAAAGGGUCCUAAAAAAUUUCGGACCCGGUCUGAGCCCACCUAAGAACCCUUUUAGCACCGGUCCGUGGCUGGAACCGGUACUAAAGGGUCCCUUUAGCACCGGCUGGUGGCUCUUGCCGAUGCUAAAGGGUUACCCUUUAACACCGGCGCGUACCACCAGCCGGUGUUAAAGACCCUUUAGCACCGGUUCCAGCUACGGACCGGUGCUAAAAGGUCCGCCCCUAUAUAAGCACACAAGCGUCCUGGAUCCGAACAAUUCAUUCGUCUUCGUCGAGCAGAGCCCUUUGCUGCCGCCUCGUCUCCACCAGCGCCGCCGCCGUUCGUCUUUGUGCCCCGCGGCAUUUGUCUCCAGCGCCGCCACGACCGUCUCCAGCGCCACCGCGGCCAUCUCCGCCACCAGCGCCACCGCAGCGGCCUCCACCAGCGCGCCUUCCACCGAACUCCGGCCCCCUACGUACUAUCGAUCAUCUCCACCGAUAUGCAUAUGGCACAACAGUUUUUUACAUAUAUAUACUAACAAAUAAUGAAUGAAUGUAUGAAUUAUAUGCCAAGCAGUUUAUAUAUAUACACUAAAAAAUACAUGUUAUUAUGAAUUAUAUAUAUAUAUACAAACUUUGGAAUAUGAUUUUAGUGUUAUAUAUAUAUAUAUGAUUCUAAUGUUUUGUAUAUAUUAUUGUUUGUACUAUUAAUCUAGUACCAUUUUUUAGUAUAUUAGUAUUAUUCUAGUAUAUUACUUGGCUUAAAAAAUUCUAGUAUUAUUUUUUAGUUUGGAGCACUCCGAGCACUUUCAUUUGUAGUAGUACUAGUAGUAGUAUAUAAGUCUCUAAUAUAUAUUUUAUUUUUCUAGUGUUUUGUAUAUAUUAUUAUUUGUACUAUUAUUUUAGUAUUAUUUUUUAGUAUAUUAUCCUAGUAUUAUUCUAGUAUAUUACUUGGCUUAAAAGAUUCUAGUAUUAUUUUUUAGUUUAGAGAACUCCACCACUUUCGUUUGUAGUAGUACUACUAGUAGUAUAUAAGUCUGUAAUAUAUAUUUUAUUUUCUAGUGUUUUGUAUAUAUUAUUGUUUGUACUAUUAUUCUAGUAUUAUUGUUUUCUUAUCUUAUAUAGUGCUUUUAUAUAUAUAUAUAUAUAUUAUAUAUAUAUAUAUAUAUAUAUAUAUAUAUAUAUAUAUAUAUAUAUAUAUAUAUAUAUAUAUAUAUAUAUAUAUAUAUAUAUAUAUAUAUAUAUAUAUAUAUAUAUAUAUAUNNNNNNNNNNNNNNNNNNNNNNNNNNNNNNNNNNNNNNNNNNNNNNNNNNNNNNNNNNNNNNNNNNNNNNNNNNNNNNNNNNNNNNNNNNNNNNNNNNNNUUAUAUGGAAGAUGCCAUGAGAAAUAUGAUCGACGACAGUAGUCGGUACUUUGCUUAUUACAACGAGCUCAUGCAGGACAAUCCGACUAAGCAACAAGAGGGCAAUGCACCUGAGCAACAACUCGUCGUGCAACAAGAAGGAAAUACCGGCGAGGUAUGUAAAUGUAAACAUAUAUAAUGCAUAUCUUAUAUUAGAUUUUAGACUUACUUGGUUAUUAAUUUAGUAUUUUUGUUUCUAUAUCUACGUGUAGCCCUCUAGAUCGACCUCUACGGGGAGAAGCCUACCUCCACGAGAGCCAAAGAAGCCGUUGGAGGGCUGCUACGUAAUCUCCGAGUUUGAGACAGCUAUAGGUAGACCACUUGGUGAACAUGCAACUAAAUAUGUCGGUCACUAUGGUUACCUUGUGAGAGACCAAAUACUGAUCAGUGCUCGUGAAUGGAGAGAGAAGCGAGGUGCUCCUGAAAUUAGUUUUAUCUCUGAUCGUGACAAGGAGUUAGUUUGGAAAGCCGUCACGGCGGUUUUCUCCUUCGACACCAACGAUGAAGAGUUGAAGGCACGAAUUUAUGAUUGGACUAUGAAGAAGAUGGCUGUACUGUUCCAUAAUUGGAAGAAGACUUUGUACAAUAAAUUUGUAAAGAAAAAUGAGACCCUAAAUUUUAACCUCAAGCAAUAUGUAAAGCUGAGGGCCUUCUAGGAUGACUUCGUGCAGUACAAAAUAUCAGAAGAGGGCGAGGAACGAGCCAUUAGAAGCUAAGAGAAUGCAAGUAAAAAGACAUUCCACCGUCAUAUGGGAUCAGGUGGUUAUAAGAGUGUCGUUCCCAAGUGGGACCAAAUGGAACAGGAGAUGCUUGCUAGGGGGGUCACACCCGAGACAAUAGCAAAGAAUUGGAGCGAGCGCUCCGAGCAUUGGUUCUAGGUCAUGCGGGAAACGUGGACCCAGACACCGGGGCGCUAGUUUGGGGCCAUGAAAUCUCUAGAGCAGCAGAGAGACUAGUCCGUGCACGAGAGGUGGUUCAGUCUAGUGAGUUCAGGCCCAACAGGGAGAAGGAUGAACUCACGUACACGCUUGAAAAUCCUAAGCACGGUGGGCGUAUGAGAGGCUAUGGUGCAGUUUUGUGGCUGCAUUCAUUCAAAGCUGAUCGAGAAACCUACAGAUGUCGCCAGAGAAUGAAGGACGAGGAGGUUGACCGGAUCUGCCGGCUGGAAGCUUUUGUUAUGUAGUCACAAGAGCGUGAGAAAUCUGAUGAAGAAUGGAUGCAGGCAAAGAUUAAAAGGCAAGUAUAAGAAGCACUUAGUCAAAUGACGAAAGGGUAAGGUACAUCAUAGCCUGAGGUGAACAUUAGCCCCCUAGGCCAGUUGAAAAGCAGUUGUGCUUCCACGGAAGUACCAACCAUUCAGGAUGACACGAAGCUACAGUUCCCCGUGGAUGAUGUCACAGAGGCUUUUACUACUUGUGAGCUGCACGUACCAGAUGGGAAUGCAACAAAAAAGAUGGCUAACAGUGUUGUCAACCCUAUCGACCGAACAAGAACUUCAAGAAUCCAUAGUCGACUAGUACCAGCUGGAUAUGCUAGCGUCUUGGUUGAUAGGGUUGAGAGAGGUUGUGGCAGCGUGCCUCUAGAAAUAGAAGGGGGAGAUGGAGAGAAGACCUUAGGUGAAGCUGAGAAGAGGUUGUUGGCGCAAGCGCUUCAUAAUUAUUCCAGGAGUGUCACUAUCGCCACUACCUCACCAUAGGUUUCUGCAUGAUUUUAGUUCUUAGAUUAUUUAUGUAUUGCACUUAAAAAAAGUUUGCUCACAGAACUCGUUGUUUUCUCAGCAGGGACUCCUCCAACCUAAGUCCAGUUAAUUCCCCAGCUCAUCAUAGUGCUGUGGGCGAUGACGAUGCUGGAUUCGAUGUAAUGGCUGCAAGCUCAUCUCCUCCAACACCUGUGGCGGCUGCCCCGGCCCCACCACUACCUCCAACGUGGUCUCCACCUCCUCCACCGAGGUCUCCAACGCCUCCACCGUGUUCUCCAACGCCAAAAAGAUCGGCCCCAUCGCCUCCAUCGCCUGCACCGUCCUCUCCAAAGAGUACACUGUCGGUCCCAUCGCCUCCAAAGCGAGGCAGUCAGAAGAGGUCCGCCCCAGAACGAUCGAAUUCGUCGGUCUCAUCUCCAAAGAAGGCUGCCUCAGCAAACAAAACUAAGACACUAGAGAAAUUAUCUUAUGAAAAGAGUGAAGAGGAGGUAUUUGCUUCGUCCAAAGCAGAGGUGAAACAAUAGUUUUCUAAAUUGAACUAGGAAGUCAAAGAGCGGCGGAACCUAGAAAAGUCAUACUUAUAUAUAAAGCUAGAGGAACUGAGGAAGAAGGUGGUGGACCACCAAAAGAAGUAGUGGGAAGCUCAGAAGAAGGCAGCACUGUCGGACUAUGAGCACUCUCUGGUCAAGUCUGCACAAUAGCCUAGGAAGAGAGUAGGAAAGGGGGUCCCACAGCUAAGGGAAGUAUCAAAACCGGUGCCCUUGUUGAUUGUGCCAAAUCAAUAUGGCUCAAAUGAGGACUUGAUGGCAAAGCAAUCUUUAAUCUUGUCUGAGCUAGAUUCGCUUGAGCAUUACUUUGGACAAAGCAGUCUAAACAUCAAAGACAUUGCCGCUAUUUGUCACACCCAAAUUUCAAGAAUGAAAUAGAGUGCAUAAAAGACUCAUGUGCGCCCCAGAAUCAGUCGUACACAUAAGUUGACAAAUCUCAAAUAGUACCAUCACAACGUUUAUUACAUAGCAGAAUAAUAAUUAUUACAUAGUCUUAAACAAAUAAAGAUAGUCUCGACGGAAGCACCACACAGGGACAUAAUCGACUGGUUGACUCCAAGCCUAGUACUCAUAACGGUAAUCCUGAUUCCAGUCAUCUUCAUUAGAAUAUCCUGAGGUGUUGUGAAAUAGCAAGAGUGAGCACAUAUUGUACUCAACAAGUAUAACUAGGGGUUCAUGAGGCUCAAUAAGCUGACACUGGUUUGACUGCAUUUAGCUUUUAUAUGUGGAUAGCAGGUUCAUAUUUAGAUAGCAAAAAUCAAGGUAGCAUCAUGAUCAAUGUAUACAAGAAUUAAGAAUAACACAUAUAAACAACAUAAUAAACCAUCAUUUAUCAUCAUUAAUCAUGUUCAUCAGUGUCCAUCUAUUCCGUUAGUUUUCUAGGCCGCCCGUAUCCAUGGGCAUGCCUAGUAUACCAGAUUUUAACACUCUGCAGAGGUGGUACAUCUUUACCCAUGAGUUGUGAUUUACCCUUUCGCCCGAGGUUGCAAGUCUCUUAACCGCCUUCCUAGGGAGGUCGACAGGGAUCACUAUGAAGCCUUUCAAAGGUUUCGUCUAACAAGUUAGGGCCAUUAGAUUCACUCGGCAAGCAGAUAUAGAGCCCCCUUCCAUGGCACAUAACACACAGCCUAUACACACGAACAGAGGCCACACUAUACCCAACAUGUCUAGCCAUUCUUACGCCAUUUAAGGUAACCGCUAACAAGCUAGAAAAAUAUCCUCAUACUGAGCUAAAACCAAAGCACAAUAGUCCUCAUGAUUGUAUGAGUUGUCCCAGCUUUUGCCAAGGGAUAAGUCCCUAUGGAGGUCAAGAUCAAUCUAGCAAAAGCCAGAGUUCUUUCCACCCUUUAUGUUCAAUUUGCUAGAAAGCUUAUUUUAUUGUUUAUUGCAUAUUCAAAUAUUCAUGUUGCAAGAUAAUGGAUUAUAAUUAAGCACUAGCAAGAACUACCCAAGUGUAUAUCCAAGUAGGUAUCAAGGAAUUCAAGAUAACAAUCAUUUCGCUAAGGUUGUCAAGGUGGAUACAUGCAUAUGAUAUAUGUGUAGUUAUAAGUGUAUAGGUAACAUAGAUAGUCCAAAGUUAUACUUGUCUUGAUCAAAGCUCUUCUGGGACUGCUGCUGGUUUUCAAAGACUUGGCCUUGCUCAACAACGUAUUGCUCACCGUCUACACCCGAUCAACAAUCAACAACACGCAUUCCAAUGGAGACAAUCAUACACAAGGCAAACAAGCUAUAAUUAGAACAUUACACCAACAGUGAUAAAACAAAUAUAAAAGUUUAUAAAAAUAUUUUACGCAGCGCCACAAUCACACAAACAUAAAGUUCACGAAAAUCAGAAUUAAAACGUAAAAGUUAUGAAUUUUCUAAGAUUUCCUAUAGAAGAAUAAUUAAUUAAUUAGUGCCACAAAAUUUAAAAGUUCCAUACUGGUAAAACAGUAGCACUAACAUGUAGAGCUCACAAAUACGAACCUAACACAAUUUGAACGGGUCAAAGCGUAAUUAAAAUGAGUAUUUUAUGAGCAAAACAAUUUCAGUGGCAAAACUGUAAAUACUGGAAAGCGUAUUUUAAUUCAAACCGACGAAAAUACGUUUUUAAAACAGCAACACGCCUUUUCCAAAGAUGCCAAGGACAGCGGGUUCGAUUUGGGAAAAGCCGAGGGUCUCUCUAACAACUUUCACCCCAAAGGGGUAUCUUCUAAUCGUGAUCGUCGAUUCACAAUCCGAUGGCUGAGACUUGAUCUGGGGCAGGGUUGGCCGGCCUCCUCGCCGGAACAGGAGCGCCCGCAGUGCACCUCCAUUGUCGGCGUCGAGCUCCUCACCGGAGUUCGCCAAAGCGACGCUGCGGUUCACCAAAAAUGAAACCGAGGGCACUCGAGGGAAGAGAAGGAAGAGGCGAGCUCACCAAUGGCGUUCUCACAGUCGGAGAAGGCUCGGAGGGGUGUGGCUAUGCUCGGCGGUAGAAAGAAACCCUAUUGAGAUCCAAAUCUCGCGGAAUACGAAGCUAGGGCUCGGUUUGGACGACUUGAAUGCAAAAAAGAGGCUUCGAGGUCGAGCAUCGGCUAUGUAGAGUUUGAGAAGAUCUUCUACGCGGUCAAUCCCGUCCAAAACGGGAUUCGGUUCCCCCUAGAGUCCCGAUCGGACUGGGAAGAAGAAAGGGAGGAGGGAGAAGACACUAUUGCAUGGGGCCUAUCUGUCGGCGAGAGAAAAUAGAGAAGGGGAGGGCGCUUGCGUGCGGCAUGGGCUUCGGCUUCUGGGCCGGUUGUGAGCGGUGGCCAACGGGCCGAGAGAGGAAGAUGGACCACAUGGUGCGAGGAAGAGGCGGGCAAGCCGAGAGGGGAGAAAGGCUGGGCUUGCGCGCUGAGAAUUGGGCCGAGAGAGGGAGAAGCCAGGCCUUCGGGCCAAGAGGGUGGGUUUCUCUUUUUUCCCUAUUUCUUUUCCAAAGCAUUUUUAAAAGGAUUUGAAUUCAACUAAAAUUAAGACAAGCACACAGCAAUAAAAUAUGUCCCAGCAUCAAUGCAAAAACAUGUUCCUAAACUUAUGAUAAAUUUUUAAUUCCACAAAAUUUAUUUAUUCACUAAUUUAAAUGCUCACAAAAUAAUUAAAUAAAUCAAGUUAAAUCCUAUUAAUUUAAAAUCAAAUUUGUGGGUGUUACACUAUUGCUGGACGUCAUACUUUUGAAAAGGCUCAGGUAGUUGAUCAAUGGAGGGCAAGAUAUGAACCGGGCAGGAGUCUAAUGAACCCUCAACAUUUACAUGAGCUCGGCACACAAAUGUUUGCAAUAAACAAGUGGUGCAUGGAGGCGUCUAAAAGGGGAGAUAAUUGGAUUUCUGUUCGUAUUCGACAACAUCACUACUUCCGUGGAGAUGACCUCGUAUACGUCCAGUUAGAAGAAUUGCACCAAUUAUGUCACCUCGACGGUCUCGAUAAAUCUCUCGUCAGCUACUUUUGUCUGUAAGUAUUUCUUUCUUUUUUAUUAAACUUCUACCUUCUUUAAUUAUAUGUAUAUAAUCCUUACACACUUAAGAUUUGUAUGUAUAUAUGCAGACACCAAAUGAGAGAGCUCAGAAGCAAAAAUGACAAUAGUACCGUGCAGUGUGGACAACAUCUUAUGAGACAUAAGUCUGCACCAAACUUAUGAGGUUUUUCAUGAACCAAAACGAAAAACAAAAAAUAGUCUUCCCCUACAACUUCGAGUGAGUUAUAUAGUUAUUAAGUGCAUGCAUAUUUUAUUUUACUUAUUAUUACUUGAUUCAGGUUUUAUAUAGUUAUAGGUCUGAUUAUAUAUAUGUGUAAUAAACAACUUUCACUGGAUACUCAUGAUCAUUGAAAUUUCCAAGAACUAGUUGAUAAUCUAUGACUCACUGAGAUAACCACAAAAAAAAUAUCAACAAAUGGUAAACAUUAUUCAAAGAUACGUAAUAUCGAUCUUAGCUAGAAGAAUAUCAUGAUAUGACUCUACAAUUAUUAGUUGACGAUCUACAAUGGCUGUGUAUAGGGUUUGGGAAAGAUUUAUUGAGCGUGAACAUCUCAUUGGUUGUAAAUUUGGGACAUUUUCAUUGCCUUUUGGUAUAUUUUUUAGUUUAUUUUGUUUUGUUGAAUAUUAUCGAAAAAUGUGAGUUUGAACUACAGGUGCAUCGAAUAAUAGAUUUCAUUCUAUCAAAAAAUGUUAUCCUUGUUUCUUAGUGUAAAUUUAGUCUAAAUCAAGGAACCGUCUUGAAGUUUCGAACAACGUGCACACAGGGCAAAGCCGCCAACUUACGUGCAAGUAGUUUUUUAAUUAUAUAAAAUAUGAAUGAAUUUAUCUAUGAUGAAUUAUAGACAUUAUAUGUGUAUGUGAUGAAUUAUGGACAAUAUAUGUGUAUGUGUUGGAUUAUUUUUUCGAGACGAGAGAUAUUCCCCAUUUUUAUUGAAAAAACAAUAGAAAUACCAUUCAUACAGAGAGUUUCUAGAACAAACAAUAAACAAGAGAGAAGCUUACAUGGAAGAAAACUAAAUACCACGACAGGUAAAACAACUACAGCUUACCAACAGACCACUAUGGAAAGUCAAAAGAGUUCAAACUUAGGAAGCAUCAGACAACAAACACUCAUACAAUUAAUAGUCUUCAAAAGAAAGAUUCCUUGAGAUCUUCAAACACUAUUUUGUCCAUAUGCCACCUCAAUUGUUUUGUUCAUCAAGCUUGUCAUCUUGAUCCUUCGGCUUGGUAUCUUUCAGUGAGUGGUGCCUCUGCGCUUUCACCUCCUUAUCCACCAGUGGCAAGGCAAUUUUCAGCAUUGUAUUUGCCCCAACAACCAACUGAUCCUUGUCAUCAUCUAAAAACAAACCUGCCCAAUAUUCCAUAAGAGAACCAGCAUAACAGAUAAUAGAAAUUGGACUUGUAACAGUCUUGCCCUCAAAACAACACUUUUUCGUGUUUUCCAGAUUGCCCAGCAAAUAGCUGCAAUGCCUAAAGCAUGAAAUUUCUCAUAAAAAGGUAGCCAUUGCUCACACCAUGCCCAACAUUGAUCAAAGUUUCUAGGUACAUUGGAAGCACCUAAGCAAUGUGCCACAAUAGCCCACACAACUUUAGCCAAACUACACUGAAAUAGAAGAUGUGAGACAGAUUCAUUGCAAUCACAAAACAAGCAGGAUGGAUCACCAUUCUAUUUCCUGUUACACAUAUUAUCUCUGGUUAGUAUUGCAUUAUUUGCCACAAGCCAUAAAAAGAUUUUGAGCUUAGCAAGGAUAUUUCCUUUAAAGAUUUUUUUCUAAUAGGGACGAGCAUCAUUUGAAGUAAGAGAUUUAUAGACUGAUUUAACAGAGAAGCAACCAUUCUUACCAAAUUUCUAGAAAACCAUAUCCUCUCAACCUUACUAAGGAUAUUAUUCCAAUCUAGUAUCAAAUUAUCUACCAACCAUCUUGUGAAACUAAUAGAACUUUGUUUCAUUUGAGAUACAGAAAUAUCAGGUUGCACGCAAAUUUUAGACAAGUCUAGAAACAGCCACUCUAGAGGUUUAUCAAAUAACCAACUAUCUUUCUAGAACAUAGUCAUCUUACCAUUUUCUAUUUCCAGCUUCCUUCCUUAUAAAUAUAUGUGCCUUAUCUUUACAAGAUCAAGCCAAAUUGCUGAAUCGUACUGUCUGUGUUUCGCGUAAAGAUACUUUUUUCCUAAAACACUUGUAUUCUAUAAUGUCUUGCCGAAGGCCUUUCUCAUUAUCAUGCUUCCACAACCAUUUACAAAGCAGACUAAUAUUCAUUUUCUUGAGGUCUUUAAUAGCUAGCCCUCCUUUCUUCUUAUGCUUACAGAUUUUUGUCCACUUCAGCAAAUGAUAUUUUUUCUUAGUACCCCCACCUUGCUAGAAAAACUUUAUUCUAACUUUGUCUAAUCUGUCAAUGAUGGUUUGGGUAACAGAUAUAUACACAUAUGGUAAAUUGGUGAAUUACUUAUGUUAGAAUUGAUCAAGAUUGUUCUCCUAGCAAUAGACAUCAUGUGUAACACCCUAAAAUUUUGCACCUUUUUAAAUAGAUGAAAAUUAAUUUAAUUUUGUAUUUUUGUGCUCAUGAAAUAUAGGGAAAUAUUAUUUUUCAUUAAAAUAAAACUUAUCAUAGGAUUUAGCAACUUGUUGUGCAUUCAUUUUGGAGCAUUUAUUUUCAUUGUAUUGUGUGAUUUUGGGCAAAGUCAAAAUAUUUCAAACUGUUAUAUUUAAAUGAUUUUUUAAAUGAUUGGAGAAUGACUUUGGAAUAAAAGAAAGGAAAAUAGAAAAAAAAUAUAAAGACAAAACCCCUCCCUCUCUUUGUUUUAGCCCGAGAAGGCCCAACCCCUUUUCCCUCCCCCUUUCUUUUUCCACCCGCUGGAGCCCAGCUUUUCUUCUCUUUACCUUUUCCUCGCUCGGCCCAACGUCCAGCUCCGGCAGCACCUCGGCCCAGCGUGCGCAGCAAGCCCCGCCUCUCUCUCUCUCUCGGCCCAAUGUCCAGCCUAGCAGAGCGUCUUCCCCUCUUCUCUCUGUCUGGCGAUCGGGUCCCGCUUCCUCUCUCGCUGACCGGUGGAGCCCACACGGCAGCGCCUUCCCCUUCCUUCCUCGCGAGGACGAACCAGACACGGCAUCAAACGAACGGCAAAUCCCGCUUCUUCGGGAUUCCUUGCCAGAGCUGCACAUGACCCGCUCCUAUAAAGCUUGUAGCCCUCCUGCGCACCCCCUUUCCCCAUCCACGAGAUUAGGAGCCGCACUUUUCGCCGGUGUCCCCGUUUUGGAUCUCGCCGAGCCAAGGCUCAACCGCCACCAAGAAUGUCGUCGUCUGCGACUCUAGUUCCUCCGUAAGUGCUUUGUCGAGCUUAUUGAGGUGCUUGCGAAGCCACCGAGCUUUCUUUCCCACGAAAUCAUGCUUUGUUUUGCUUGUCUCAGGUCGCCGAAGUUCACAGGGAACUCACUAUCCGCCAUAUCACGAAGCCGACCAUCCUCAAACCCCUUCAGCCCCAUAAUCUAUAGGUGAGUUCGCAUGAAGUUUUUGUAUGCUCCGAUGUCUUCCCCGUCGAAAACCGUGGUCUCUAGGGCCAAAAACGCCAACUCCGGCGGAGAGCAAGCCUCUCCGGCCAUGAAGCCAUCGCUGGAGGCACUGUAGCUGGCUGGCGCCCCCUCUCUCCCUUCCCAGCUUCUAAUCUGAGCCAUCCGAUCCAAGAUCAACGGCUCCUAUUGAAUCGUACCCCUUCGGCUGAACAAUUUCUUAAAGAGACCACGCAGUUUUCAAGUAUAGAACCCGCGGUCCAAAGCACGUUUUAUGAAAUACGCCUUCUAAGUUUGGAAAACGUAUUCUAUUCCGAUUUAAUCCAAAAUACGAUUUCAAGAAUUACAAAAUUGCCACUGAGCUUGUUUUGGCUAUAAAUUAUUCAUUCUAACUCCGAUUUGACCCAUUCAAAUUGUGUUAGGUUCGUUUUCAUGAGCUCUACAUGUUAGUAACACUGUUUUUGCAGUUUGAAACCUUUUAAUUUUGUGAUCCUAUUUAAUUAAUUACUUUUCUAUAUAAAAUAUUAGAAAAUUCAUAUCUUCUCCGUUUUAGCUCUGAUUUUUGUAAUCUUUACGUCUAUGAAAUCGUAGCGAUGCGUAGAAUUAUUUUACAAACUUUUCAUACUGUUUUUAUAUGAUUGGUGUACUAUUCUAAUUGUAGCCUUGUUUGCUUCGUGUAUGUUGUCUCCGUUUGUUUGUGUGUUGAUGAUCGAUGAUCGAGUUUAGACGGAGAGUAGUUUUUGGUGAUUAAGAUGAGAGCUUUGGCAACAAGUAAGACCACCAGAGUUAGGAAGAUCAGCAAGAGCAAUUGGAUCAAGACAAGUAUAACUUGGGACUAUUAUUGUUACCUAUACACAAUUAAUACAAUAUAUCAUAUGCAUGUGUCCACCUUGAUGACCUUAGCAAAAUCAUAGAUGCUUGUUAUCUUGAAUUCCUUGAUACCUAUUUAGAUAUGGAUUUGGGUAGCUCUUGCUAGAGCUUCAUUAUAAUCCAUGAUCUUGAAACAUGAAUAUUUGGAUAUACAAUAAACAAUAAAAUAAGCUUUCUAGCAACUCGAACAUAAAGGGUGGAAAAAACUUUGGCUUUUGCUAGAUUCAUCUUGACCCUCCAUAAGAACUUAUCCCUUGGCAAAUGCUAGGACAACUCGUACAACCAUGAGGGCUAUAUGGCUCAGGCUUUAGUCAAGUAUGAGUAACUUUUCUAGCUCAUUAGCGGUUACCCGUGUGGCAUAAUUGGGAAAUAGCAGAUCAUGGAUUCCUGCGGGUGGAUCACAUGGACUGACUAAUGAAACCAAGCGGCCCUAACUUGUUAGAAGAACCUUUCAAAAACUUCAUAGUGAUCCCUGCCGACCUUCCUUGGUAGUGGGCUAAUAAGAGGCUGAUCACCUCGGAUGAAAGGGUAAAUCAUGACUCAUGGGUAAAGAUGUACAACCUCUGCAGAGUGUUAAAUCUGGUAUACUAGCCAUGCCCACGGAUAUGGGCGGCCCGUAAAACUGACGAAAUAGAUGAACACUGAUGAACAUGAUUAAUGAUGAUAAAUGAUGGUUUAUUAUGUUGUUUAUAUGUGUUAUUCUUAAAUUCUUGUAUACAUUGAUCAUGUGGUUAUGGGAUUAAUUAUGCGACCUUGAUAUUUGCUAUCCAAUGAUUAAAUAUGAUAUCUACAUAUAAAAGCUAAACGCAGUCAAACCAGUGUCAGCUAAUUGAGCCUCAUGAACCCCUGGUUAUACUUGUUGAGUACGAUAUGUGCUCACUCUUGCUAUUUUCCCCCAUACUUCAGGAGGAGUGUUAGGCUUGUGAUCAACCAGUCAGUUUGGAUCCUGUAGAGUGGAGUUAAUAUCCAAAGUUUGGAGUUGUCUAUCCGUUGUUUGCUAUCAAAGGUUAUAUCUUUUAUACUAAGUACGAUAUAUAUUUAUGCAUUGUGUUUUGAUAUUACCCCUUAUUUGUAGCUAUAUGUGAGAUUUGGCUUCUAAAACUCAUAUAUGGUGCAUAUCUGGUUUUGUCCUUGAAAUCAGGUAUUACAAAGUGGUAUCAGAGCAAUGUUGGCUGUAGGACGUAAGCCUAGAUAGAAAUUGGUCUUCUUAAAGUUUUGGAAAUUGUUAUAACACCCUUGCUCUAUAAACCUUGGUAUUUUUCUCUAUACAAUAUCUCUAUCCUUGCUAUUUGUCUCUACCUUGUUGCUUAUUUUAAAAGUCCUUGUUCUCACCUUCACCCCUUGAGUUGGUAUGCUUUUAGAACCUUCCCUUAUCAUCUUCUUGUGUCUUUUGAAGAGGAGUUUUAAGAUCUCUACCCUUACUAUGAAGAGAACGAUAGUAUCGCAAGUUGAGUGAAGUGUGAACCUUCAAUGCUUAAUUGGUUUGUUAUUAUGUUUAUGCUUGAUUUGGAUCUUUGUAAUGAGUACAAUGAUUUUGUGGUAUUUCUCCACAAUAUCAUUUAGUUUAUAGGCCUAAGGCAUAAGGAGUAAUGACAUAAGUAGGUGGGUUUGGUUAUAUCCUGUUUCUAUCCCUUGCUGAUUUCUAGAGCAGUAUGCAAAGAUUCUGGUAUAUCUCAAGUUUUGGUCGUGCAAAGUCUAUCAACGUUUUCUGGGAACAACUAGACUUCAAGAUUUUUCUCUGACCACAAGAAUCACCGUCAUAGCUAUUAUGGUUUGGAAGUUACAAAAAUCACAAGAUAAUAGAGAUGUGUUGUCAAGAAUUUGGACCAGUUUCGGUUGCUUACUGUUUUAGACAAGUAUUGUCGAGGGUAUCGGUAAGGGGUACCCUCAGCGAUGCGCAUUGUGAGAUUGCCCGUACGAAGGUUGGGACCCCCAAUUCGACGCUUUAAUCUUACUUACGCGCCGCCAUCGACGGUCGCAGCCUCGAAUACGGAAAUAGCGUCGAGCGAAUCGGUCAGGGCUCGAGCAACGACUACCGUCGAAGACGGAAGCGGGCUCGAGCGAACCGAGAGACGUCGAGCGUUAGGACACUGUCCGCCGCCUGACGCGCGCACGCGGGCGGGAGCAUUAAAUGCAUCUGACGUUUCCCACCUAACACACGGGUCACGGAAGGCGUGAUAGGGAACAAGCUUCUGUCCCAUCGUUCCUUUUGCAGCCUUCCCACCGAACGACCCAGGGUGUGUCAGGAUGCAGGAAACGAGGAUGGAACGUCUAAUCGGGACCCCCUCGAGACACCCAAGGUCAGCGCUCCGGAUAUCAGCCUAUUACGCGGCGCCCGACCCUCGACCGAACGAGGUCCCUUCCCGGGGACAAGUCGGGCAUCGACUGACAACACCACAGCUGCUCCGCCGGAUCCGCCACCAUACCAUACGAGCAUGCGAUCUCAGAACCAGCACAAGGCGGCUGGCAGGGCAGCACGCAGGAGCACGCGUAAUCAUCACCAAGCUAUCAAGAUGGGACGGCUCGAGGCCAUGACGUACGGAAGUCUCGAGUAGGUCAGCGUUCCAUGCGGCUAUCGAUCCCUACUCUAAUAUCUAGGCAUGUACCCUUUGUCUCUCCUUGGAGCUAUAAAAGGAGGGACUCAGGAAUAGAAGAGGGGGACAUCACAACGCAAGAACACACACACACACGUAGUAGAGCGACACAUUUCAUUCCACGCUUGUAUUCGCCCCUGUACAAGCACUUAGGUGCAAGAUAAUACAAACUCUCUCCCCCCGCUGGACGUAGGGCCUUCUCUUGCCCGAACCAGGAUAAAUCUCUGUGUCUUCUUGCAUCACCAUCCGGAAAGGGGAGCACGCAUACAAAUUUACUCGUUGGUGUGACCCCCCGGGGAAAAAACACCGACAGUUGGCGCGCCAGGUAGGGGUCCUGCGUGUUUUUCACCGAUUUCCCACCACUUUCCGGAUGGCUACUCCUGCCUCGCCGCUUCCGCACUCCACGGUGAUUUGGUUUGGGAGUCUCGAGUUCAUGUCUACGGGCUUCGGCUACGACAUGAUCUUGCUCUCGGUCAAAGGACCAGGAGGAGUCCGCGUUACGCCAGCACGGUUGAAGGCUCCAAGACGCCCUCACCACCACGCCUCCCCGCCUAAGAAGAGGCGCGGGCAGCACCACCGUGGCCCCCUUGCUUCGGCACGACCAACAACUCGUGCAAGGCAGGAUGCGGGCCCCGGGUCGGCAACACCGUGUGACCGAGCAACAAGCGCGACGACUCAGCACCACGCGACGACGGGGGGAGACGCGUCUCGCGCACCCUCCCCCACUGCAGCUAGGCAACCUCCACGCGGGUUGUUCUCUCCAAGGGCGGCACUGCCGUUCGGAUUGGACAACGCCGCGGCAUCGCUCGCCAAGACGAUAUGCCCAAACGCUCAGACAUACGUGGAAAGACCAAUGGUCAUCCCACGUAGUUCCGAAGAGCGGCGGCCGACGUCCGAACUGCCGGACCUUUCCCGAGUACGGGGCCUCCGCCGUCUAGGCCCCGGACGAUACUCGAUCACCUCCCUCAGGCAACGAUGGCUGGAGGAAGGACGUGAAUGUUUCCACGCUGCCAAGCCAGACUCCGACUCCGAGACAGACAGCUAUGACCCUACGAGGGAAUGCUAUCACCUCGACGGGGCGGCAGAAACCACCGACGAGACACGGGAUGCUGUUGCGGGUGGACGAGCCCCCGCGGCGCAAGAAGACCCCAGGACGCCUGGGAACGACGGACGGUUCGACCCUCUUCCUCAGGAAGAUAGAACUGCGCAGCUCGCGCAGCUGCGGGAGCUCAAGAUGAAGCUCAACGAAGAUCGCGAGCGCCUCGUCCUGCUCGAGCAAAUCCUCGAACAAGACCUGCCCUACCCGCCAGGCGGAAGUGUCCGCAGACGCGCUCGAGAGGUACAUCGACAGAUCGUCGGUGACACGGAGGCGGAGCAACCUGUCGGCCGCUUCCCUCGAGCAGGCCAGAAUGUAGUGGCAGCGACGAUGCUGCUGCGUAACAUGCCAGAACCAUCAAAUUCCCAGGCCCGACGAAUUCGAGAUGAAGUUCAGACAUUGCUCCAGGUGGCAGCAGUUCAACAAGCCGAAAGUUCGGCAUCUCGACGACGAGGAGCUGCCACAGAGAAGCGCGACGAACAGCCUCUAAUCGAAGAGGAGGUGUCUGUCCAGCAACAACCUCCCCCUCGAGGCAGAAAGACCGCUCUCAUCCUCCCUGCCGACAAUCAACGUCGACACGACGCGCGACACGACGUCAAAGAAAAUAGACGCCGACGGCACGGAGACGCGGAAGAACGUGGUUAUAGCGCGCAUCGCGGUGGGAGGUACGACAGCGACGAGGACCGGGUGGCCCCCGAGCCACCGGGCCCGCGGGUGUUCAGCAGGGCGAUUCGCAGCACGCCCCUGCCUAGUCCAUUCCGACCCCCAACCAGCAUCGCGAAGUACAAUGGAGAAACCAAGCCAGAGCUAUGGCUGGCCGAUUUCAGGCUGGCUUGUCAGCUAGGCGGCGCUCGGGGGGACGAUCGAGCCAUCAUCCGACAACUACCCCUUUUCCUCUCCGACACCGCCCGUCGAUGGCUCGAGGAACUCCCAGCCAAUCAGAUUCACAACUGGGUUGACCUGGUCAGAGUCUUCGAGGGUAACUUCAAAGGGACCUAUAUACGGCCAGGGAACUCGUGGGACCUCAGCAAAUGCAAGCAGAAGUCAGGAGAAACUCUUCGGGAGUACGCUCGACGCUUCUCGAAGCAGCGCACUGAGUUGCCACACAUCCCCGACCACGACGUCAUCUUGGCGUUUGUCUCGGGCACCACCAGCCGAGACUUGGUGCGGGAAUUAGGCCGCAAUCGACCUCAAACCGUCGACAAGCUGAUGGACGUAGUGGCUAACUACGCGGCAGGGGAGGAGGCAGUCGGCGCCUUCUUCAGCUCAGAAGGAAGAAAAGGCAAGCAGCCCGUCGAUGAAGAUGGGACUUCCGGUCGAGGCCUCAAGAAAAAUAAAAAGAAGCAGAAAGUGCGGCAGUUCCACCAGGGAGAUUCGGGUGACGACCUCGUCGCCACGAUGGAUCGAAAGAAGCCGCGAGGCCCUCCGGAGGGAGGCAUCUUCGACAAGAUGUUGGAGGACCCGUGCCCUUACCAUAAGGGAGGCGCUAACCACAAACUCAAGGAUUGUCGCAUGCUGAGAAAGCAUUUCGACAGUCAGGGGCUUAAAAAAGAUGCGCGUGAUGACUCCAAGAAGGAGAAGGCUGGCGGCAAGGAGGACAACAAAGAUGACGACGGCUUCCCCGCCGUCCACGACUGCUACAUGAUCUAUGGCGGGCCUUCGACUCAGUUGACCGCGAGGCAGCGCAAGAGGGAGCGUCGCGAAGUCUUUGCAGCAAGGAUGGCGGUGCCCCAGUAUCUUAGCUGGUCAAGUACUCCCAUCACCUUCGACCGAGAAGAUCACCCCGACAAGGUGAUCGCCCCAGGCGUCUACCCGCUCGUCGUCGACCCCAUCAUCGUCAACACCCGACUCUCGAAAGUGCUGAUGGACGGCGGCAGCAGUCUCAACAUCAUCUACCUCGAGACCCUCGAUCUCCUCGGCAUCGAUAGAGGACGCCUCCAGCCAAGCGCCGGCGGCUUCCAUGGCGUCGUACCAGGGAAAAAGGCACUGCCAGUAGGUCGAAUCGACCUACCGGUCUGCUUCGGAACGGCGGCCAACUUCAGGAAGGAGACCCUCACCUUUGAGGUGGUUGGGUUCCGAGGCACGUACCACGCCAUCAUCGGACGCCCGGGCUACGCCAAGUUCAUGGCUAUACCCAACUACACAUACUUGAAGCUGAAGAUGCCUGGUCCCAAAGGCGUCAUCACCAUCAGUUCUUCCUUCGAGCACGCGUACGAGUGCGACGUUGAGUGCGUCGAGUACGGGGAGGCGGUCGAGAGCUCCACCGAGCUCGUUGCGAAGCUCGAAGCCAUGGCCGCUGAGGCUCCAGAACCUAAACGUCAUGCGGGCAGCUUCGAGGCGGUGGAAGGUACUAAGAAGAUCCCGCUCGACCCCAACAACUCCGACGGCAAGGUGCUGACAAUCAGCACCAACCUCGACCCCAAAUAGGAAGCCGUGCUCGUCGACUUUCUCCGUGCGAAUGCUGAUAUGUUUGCAUGGAGUCCCUCGGAUAUGCCGGGCAUACCGAGGGAAGUCGCCGAGCACUCCUUGGAGAUUCGAGCCGGUUCCAAGCCAGUGAAGCAGCGGUUGCGCCGAUUCGACGAGGAAAAGCGCAAGAUCAUUGGCGAGGAAGUCCACAAGCUUUUGACGGCCGGAUUCAUCAAGGAGGUUCAUCAUCCUGACUGGUUAGCGAACCCUGUAUUAGUUAAGAAAAAGAAUGGGAAAAUGAGGAUGUGUGUCGAUUAUACUAGUUUGAAUAAAGCAUGUCCGAAAGUUCCUUUUCCGUUACCACGCAUUGAUCAAAUUGUCGAUUCUACCGCGGGAUGUGAAACCCUUUCUUUCCUUGAUGCUUAUUCUGGUUAUCACCAAAUAAAAAUGAAAGAGUCCGACCAGCUCGCGACCUCUUUCAUCACGCCUUUCGGGAUGUAUUGCUACGUGACCAUGCCAUUUGGGCUUCGAAACGCGGGAGCCACGUAUCAACGUUGCAUGCUCCACGUAUUUGGCGAAUAUAUAGGUUCAACGGUCGAGGCCUACGUCGAUGACAUUGUCGUCAAGUCAAAGCAACGAGGAGACCUGAUCCAGGACCUCGAGGUUGCUUUCAGCUGCUUACGCACCAGCCGGAUCAAGCUUAAUCCCGAGAAGUGCAUUUUCGGCGUACCUCGAGGCAUGCUCUUAGGAUACAUUGUUUCACAGCGCGGUAUCGAGGCCAACCCCGAGAAAGUCUCGGCCAUCACGAAAAUGGGGCCAAUCCGAGACAUCAAGGGCGUCCAGAGAGUCACGGGGUGCCUGGCGGCUCUGAGCCGUUUCAUCUCGAGACUAGGAGAAAAGGCAUUACCAUUAUAUCGACUCCUGAAGAAGGUCGAGCGUUUUUCUUGGACCCCCGAGGCCGAGGAAGCACUUGAAAAGCUGAAAAAGACGAUGACUUCGGCACCAGUCCUGGUUCCACCUCGACCUGCGGAACCACUGCUCCUCUACGUCGCGUCGACGACCCAGGUCGUCAGCGCGGCAGUGGUGGUCGAAAGACAAGAGGAGGGUCACGCGCUGCCAGUCCAAAGGCCGGUCUAUUUCGUCAGCGAGGUGCUUUCGGAGACCAAGGCGCGUUACCCCCAAAUCCAGAAGCUGAUCUACGCCGUAAUCCUUGCCCGCCGUAAAUUACAGCAUUAUUUCCUUGGUCAUCCUAUCACGGUGGUCUCUUCUUUCCCUUUGGGCGAAAUAAUCCAGAGCAAGGAGGCCACGGGAAGGAUAGCGAAGUGGUCGGUCGAGCUCAUGAGCGAGACUCUCGCUUACGCGCCUCGAAAGGCCAUCAAAUCGCAAGCCCUGGUAGAUUUCGUCGCAGAAUGGACGGACUCCCAGCUUCCCCCGACUCAGGUCCAGGCGGAGCUGUGGACAAUGUAUUUCGACGGGUCACUCAUGAAAACUGGGGCCGGGGCCGGCCUACUGCUCAUCUCACCCUUGGGCGUCCACAUGAGGUACAUAAUCAGGAUUCAUUUCGCCGCAUCUAACAAUGUCGCAGAAUAUGAGGCCCUCGUCAACGGUCUCAAGAUCGCUAUUGAGUUAGGAGUCCGACGCCUCGACGUCCGAGGCGACUCCCAACUCGUCAUCGACCAGGUAAUGAAAGCCUCGAGUUGCCAUGACCCAAAAAUGGAAGCAUACUGCAAGGAGGUACGUCGACUCGAAGACAAAUUCCACGGCCUCGAGCUCGUCCAUAUCGCUCGACGCUACAACGAGGCAGCCGACGAACUCGCCAAGAUUGCAUCUACCAGAGGCACAGUGCCGCCUGAUGUAUUCUCAAAGGAUCUACACGAGCCAUCCGUCGACCUAGGCACGGGGGCUGGCGCCGAUACCACCAUCGCCCAACCAACCAAUGCUGUCGAUGUGCUCUUGAUGGAGGAAGAGGUGAUGGAAAUAGAACGACGACCGGGUCGACCAUUCGAUUGGCGCACACCGUUCCUCGACUGCCUUAUCCGCGGUGAGUUGCCAGAAGACAGGACAGAAGCUCGUCGUAUCGCUCGACGGGCCAAAUCAUAUGUGAUCUAUGGUGAAGACAACGAGCUAUAUCGACGGAGCCCGACGGGGAUCUUACAGCGUUGCAUCACCAUAGAGGAAGGCCGAAAACUCCUCGACGACCUGCACUCGGGGGCUUGUGGCCACCACGCCGCCCCACGGACCCUUGUAGGAAACGCUUUUCGGCAAGGCUUUUACUGGCCAACGGCCGUGGCGGAUGUCGUCGAGCUCGUACGCUCGUGUCAUGGGUGCCAAUUCUACGCCAAACAGACGCACCUGCCCGCCCAUGCUCUUCAGAUGAUCCCCAUCACCUGGCCGUUUGCGGUGUGGGGGCUCGACUUAGUAGGGCCUCUACAAAAGGCGAAAGGAGGAUAUACACAUUUGCUGGUGGCUAUUGACAAGUUCUCUAAAUGGAUCGAGGCUCGACCCAUCACUAACAUCCGCUCCGAGCAGGCCGUCCUCUUCUUCUCCGACAUCAUCCAUCGAUUUGGGAUCCCCAAUGUCAUCAUCACCGACAACGGCACCCAGUUUACUGGCAGAAAGUUCUUGGAUUUCUGUGAUCGGCAUCACAUCCGUGUGAAUUGGUCCGCAGUAGCCCACCCUCGAACUAACGGCCAGGUCGAGCGUGCCAACGGCAUGAUUUUGCAAGGACUCAAGCCAAGGAUCUACAAUCGAUUGAAGAAAUUCGGCAAGAGAUGGGUCGAGGAGCUUUCCUCGGUCCUAUGGAGCCUAAGGACAACGCCGAGCAGGGCCACCAAAUACACCCCGUUCUUUAUGGUCUACGGCUCUGAGGCUAUCCUUCCCACAGACCUCGAGUAUGGGUCACCUCGACUCAAGGCUUACAAUGAGCAAUCGAACAAAGAAGCUCAAGAAAACGCGGUCGACCAACUCGAGGAAGCUCGAGACAUGGCCCUCCUCAAUUCUGCUAGAUAUCAGCAGAGACUCCGACGCUACCACGACAAGCACGUGCGCAAGAGGGACCUCAACGUAGGCGACCUUGUCCUACGACGCCGGCAAAGCAACCAAGGACGCCACAAGCUAACCCCACCUUGGGAAGGCCCGUAUGUGGUGGCCGAGGUCCUUAAGCCAGGAACGUACAAAUUGGCGGACGAAAAGGGGGCAGUCUUCACCAACGCAUGGAACAUCGAACAGCUACGUCGAUUCUACCCCUAGAAGUCCUAGAUUUACGAUCCUACUUUUUGUACGAAGACUUUGUAAAUGAACGCAUGAAUAAAUAAAGUCUUUCCCUCGAGCAGUUUCUUUCUGUACCAAAAAUAGUUACGAAUUAUAGUCUCGACGUUAAAGGGGGAUGCCGACCAUGACCCAUCAUAGUCCGCACCCCCUCGGGGGCUACCAGAGGGACGACCCCUCCCCAAGCGUCGAAAAAGCCAAAAAGUUUCUCUAUUUCCUACUUAGUAAACCUUGAACGAUCGAGUAGUCGAGGCGCCUCGAGCCCCUCGACGACCGGAGGAUAGCGAGCCUGAGAACACCUACGCCCCCGGGCUAUGGAAACUCUACCCACUCCCUCACCCUCGAGGCGAUCGAGGCUGUGUUUUACGAAAAAUCGAACAAGGAACACAUGUGUAGGCGCAAAGGAAAUAAAAGAACCUCGAGUGGAAAGACAAACAAACAUUUAACAACCACAAAAGUACUGUAUCGCUCAGAAACAGGAUUAACUAAGUUUUAUACAAGGGGCCCCAGGCACCCCGAGCAGGCUCGCAGGCCUCAGUCCAUGGUACGAUCCUCGCCACCCUCACCUCCGCCCGAGCCAGUCUCAGGAGGAAGCACCUCAGGUUCAAAUAGCUUGGCCAGCCUCUCUCCAGGGGCCUCCGCGUCAUCGAUCAAAGCGUGAAGCCUUUCUUCGUUCUCCGCGUCGGUCUUGGAGAUGUCGGUGACGAAGCCAUGAGACACCACCUCCAUGUCGUAGGAGAAGCCCGAGCAGACGACCGCCAUCGCCCGCUUUACCCCGACGUGGAGGGCAUCCCGCACCCGAUCUCGCAGCGUUGCGCCUAUGUAGCACAACUGGUCGAUCAGGGCGUCGCCUCGGGCGUCUUCCCUCGACUCAUCCAUAGGAUCGACCUCCCAAGAGGUCGAGAGCUCGCUUAUCGCCGUCCGCACUCGACGGUUCAAAGCAACCUCAGCCUCGAGUUGAGCCUUGGCGUUGCGAGCCUCGGCUUGGGCGGCCAGGAGUUCGUCUUUGAGCCCUACAAAUACCAAUACAAAGGAGCUUUAGAAAAAACUCAAGCACACCUCGAAAAGGAAAUUCGACAAAGGGAACAUACCUUUGAUGCUCUCCUCUAGAGCCGUGUUCUCGCCAACCAAUCUGGUAUUGGCACGCUCGAUCUCUCUGUUGGAGCGCGUCAGCUCAGUAUUGGCAACGCGGAGAUCUUCGAUCACCCUGCCAGCCUGAGUGACGGCUCCACUUUUCUCUAGCAGUUCUCCCUUCAGACGCUCGACGUCGUCAGAGAGACUGCGGGAUCGAGCUCGCUCCAUCUCGAGGUCUUCAAGGGCUUUCUUUUUUGCGUCCUCGGCGGCACCCCUGGCGACCUCACUGUCCACGAACGCCACCUUCAUCUUCUGGAAGGUAUCACGGAGGGAGUCCAGGUCGGUCUGGAGAAGGCCCUUCUCCUUGUCCAAGUCCGCAAUGAUGCCCUUGUGGGACAGGACCUCCUCCCGGGCUCUGGACGCGGCCUCCUCGACCGUAAGAGCCCGCUCCCGUAGCCGCACCGCCUCCUCCUCCGCCUUCUUCGAGACCUCUCGGGCCUCGGCCAAAGCAGCCUCCCUCGUCUUCUUCUCCUCCUCGAGUGCUAUAAGAUCUUUAUAAGCUUUAAGCAGCUUUUCCUGUGACUCGAGGAGUUGAUCCUUGAGGAGGGGAAGCUGCUCCCAUCCGCCCCUCGUGGCAUGUAUGAAGCUAGACUUGAUGCGAGAGGUCUCUUUCAUAUCCUGCGAAUCAGGGGCCAGGGGGAUUAGAACACGGAGACCCGAAAGCACCACAACGAUUGGAGCUCGAGAAACACUUACAAAAUAAGCAGGCCUGAGCCCGUUGUUGAUGACGUCCGAUAGGAGCCCCACCACGUGUUUCAUCCAAAGGCGGAGCUCCUCGACGUGCUCCCACUUCUCGACUUCCUUCUUGUCAUCGAGGAAGAUAUUGGGCUCGGACGGGUCGCUGGAAGCUCGGAUACGAAUCCGAUCGGGGCACCAGUUCUCCAUCUCCCGAUCGGACCGCACCUUGACGCCGCGGAGGAAGUUCUCGACGGUCUCGAGGGAACCCCCGUGGCGCAAGAACAGGUCGGCGAGGCAAGGGAACCGGCCGUCGUCGUCCACCGUCUUCCACGUGCCGUCCUUGCUCCCAGACGAUCCGAUCUCGUCUUCCUCAGAGGGAAAACGGUCCUCCCACGCUCGACGCUCCCGGAGGAACCCUGGAGCGAUCCCGUCCAUGCCGUAGAGUGUCCCCUUGAUCUCGGACUCGGGGUCGGUAGGGGUGCGCAUCAUGCAGGCGAGCGCCACCACUCCGUCCGCUCGCCCCGACUCUGCCCGGAUCGCGGCAGGCGCCCCCGGGAGGAGCCACGCUGGGGUAGGAGGCCCGUACACCGGCAAAUCUCCCUCUUGAUCGUCGGGCUCUUGCGACGCCAGCGGCGCCGGUUCGGCCAAAAUUUGAGGCGGGGGCUCGAGCGGCUCGUUCUCCUGGCCCCCCAGCGGCUGUUGCUGCCCCAGCUGCUGCUGCUGCUCCUCCUGCUGACGCUGCAGUUGCUCCUCCGGCAGAGGUUGCUGCUGCUGCUGCUCCAGUGACGGCUGCGUCGCCUCGCGCUCCCGCCCCUCCUCCUCCACCAUCUUCUUUUGCGCCUCGAGGGCUCGAAGGCCCGCGGGCCAGGGAGUCCGUCCUGCGACGUUAGGAGUCGACGCUUCUUCCUCCAUGGGUCGAGCGCCCCCAGACGCUUCGUUGCCAUCAGACGUAUCGCUGAUGGUGAUGGGUUCCCCCUCGACCCCCAAUCGAGAGGGCUCGGGGGCUCCCUCUGACGCACGCGUCUGGGGGGCCGCAUCGUGAGUCGGUGGCGGCGAAGUAGGCGCGGGACGAGGCAAAGCUAUCUCGACGCUGUCUGAAGGUUGGGUGCUUGACGAGCCUACAAAGGGUAAGGGUCAGACGUUAUGAUAACCGACGUAAGGAUAUCGUAGCACCCAGGAAUUAACUAUGAACCUGGUUCCGUGGAGGUGGCACCCGUUCUGAGCCUCUUGGCCAUCGAUGGUUGGGCCUGCUCGAGGGUUCGUUUCAACCUGAGAAAAAGUCAGCAUGUGAGGAAGGGUGAAAGAAUAGGAGGACAAAGACCGCAACGACAGAAGGGCUUACCCCACGGGCAGAACGGCUCGCUUUCCGCCUACCCGACCAGUGGGCCUCGAGCCACCCCGCGUCGGGGCGCUAAGCCCCUCGGGGGCGGAAACUGGCCUAGGUACGUCGGUCCCCGCCUGGCGGGCGCCGGGACUCGUGCUCCUACGACCAGCGUCCCCUUUCUCAGAGGCCGCAGCGCGACCGCGAGUUAGCGGCCCCGACGCCUGGGACCUAGCCGGACCGCUCUCCCUGGGCGCCAGGGGAGGGCGCGGUGCGUCUUGGCCCGCCUUGGGCGCGGAAGGAGCGUCGGGCCGGGGGCGACGAGAUCCGCUCGGACCCUCCUCCGGCACCUCCGUCCGGGGGGCGUCGACGUCACCUCGAGGCGGGCCCUCGAGGAUCCGAUCGAGGCGCGACGCCAUCCCCUCGGAAUCGUCGCUACUCUCGUCGUCGUCAUCGUCAUCGUUGGGGGAUUCUUCCUCAGGUUCCCCCCUCUGCCUGGAUUUAGCUCGACGCGCCUCUAAUGCUUGGCGGUCGAGGUUCUUCUUCUUCUCCCCCUUCUUUGCGGAGUCCUUGGCAGACUUCAGCUUCUCGGCGGAUUGGCGCCGCUUGUCGCGAUCGACCUCGUCCUCCUUUACCGGAGGCCUCGAGGACCGGACAUCAAUUCGACCCUGCCAAAACUAAGGUAGACUUAGAAGAAAGAGAAGGAAUAAGGGAAACCCAGAAUCGAGGAUGCACGUAAGAAGAAAACAUACCAGAUCGAUCGAGCCUGCGUCAGGCCUCAUGGGGAAGCCGUUGACAUGCUCCGGCUUAAAAUCACCGGCAAUUGCGGCCCUGACUCGGGCCGCGACUUCAUCGUCUCCCGGAGGCUCGCUGGACAUCCGGCAUGCCUCGAGGUCUCGAGACGAGACGCCAGGGCCCAUCUCGUCCAUCCUCAGCGGUCGCGACAUCAGAGGGAGAACUCUCCGAUGAUGGACGGCCGAGAGGACAAGGGCGGCGGUCAAACCUUCCUGGCGAAGCUUCUUCAGGGCGUCGAGGAGAGGGUCGAGCCGAGGCUGAUGAGCUUGGACGACGCCGUAAGUCCAGUCCGCCGGACGCUCCAAGAUCAGACGGCCCGAGUAGGAAGGAAGGAGGUUGUCGUCGUUCCGCAGGUAGAACCAUUGGGAGUCCCAACCGGCGUGGUUGGUCGACAACCCUACCGGGAUGUACUCCCGCGGCCGGUCCGUCUUCCCCGUCUUCUGCACCAGAUUGAGGCAACGUCUUCCCCGUCUUCCCCGUCUUCAGGACGCAGGAAACGAGGAUGGAACGUCUAAUCGGGACCCCCUCGAGACACCCAAGGUCAGCGCUCCGGAUAUCAGCCUAUUACGCGGCGCCCGACCCUCGACCGAACGAGGUCCCUUCCCGGGGACAAGUCGGGCAUCGACUGACAACACCACAGCUGCUCCGCCGGAUCCGCCACCAUACCAUACGAGCAUGCGAUCUCAGAACCAGCACAAGGCGGCUGGCAGGGCAGCACGCAGGAGCACGCGUAAUCAUCACCAAGCUAUCAAGAUGGGACGGCUCGAGGCCAUGACGUACGGAAGUCUCGAGUAGGUCAGCGUUCCAUGCGGCUAUCGAUCCCUACUCUAAUAUCUAGGCAUGUACCCUUUGUCUCUCCUUGGAGCUAUAAAAGGAGGGACUCAGGAAUAGAAGAGGGGGACAUCACAACGCAAGAACACACACACACACGUAGUAGAGCGACACAUUUCAUUCCACGCUUGUAUUCGCCCCUGUACAAGCACUUAGGUGCAAGAUAAUACAAACUCUCUCCCCCCGCUGGACGUAGGGCCUUCUCUUGCCCGAACCAGGAUAAAUCUCUGUGUCUUCUUGCAUCACCAUCCGGAAAGGGGAGCACGCAUACAAAUUUACUCGUUGGUGUGACCCCCCGGGGAAAAAACACCGACAAGUAUAACUAUAGAAUUUGGAAAAGUGUUCUAUAGAAAAGUUCUAGACAAGUUUCUAAGAUUUCCAAUAGUAUAAGCUGGAACUUAUUCGGAUAAGUAGAACCUGCGAUAUGAUAUUUACAAUUGGAUGUUUCUGUACUGUUUCAACAUUUGGACAGAUCUGGUACUUUUCUAUUUUCAGCCAAAUUAACUUUAGAAUCUGGGAAAAUGUUAUAUACGAAAGUUGUAGAGGAUUUUAUAUGCUUUUGAACAAUGUAAAUAUCAUCUCCAGAGGAGUUUCUUAGCUCGAGAUAUGACUUCUGCAAGUUACUGCAACUUUGCUGAGACAUUGUCAGGAUGGAUAUUAAGGUUGGUUGUUUUACCUAAGCUUAAAGACAGAACCUAUGGAAGUUUUCUAUAUAAAAGUUGUAGGGAAUUUCAUAAGUUUUCUACCAGUAUAAGCUACAACUCUAUUGGAUUAAUAGGAUAAGAUUUAUAUGUGUUUUACUAUGCUGGUGUUUUCAUAUCAUGAGAAAAUUUCAGGAUACCUGUUUGUUCUCUUGCACAAAAGUUCUUUCGGAUGUAAGAAGUUUUCAAUGUUAGUUAACCUGCCUAGAAAACAGGCAAGCUACCUUUCUUGUGUCCCCUAGUCGACUUUUCUUAAGGGGGGUAGCCUAAUUAAAGGAGUUACAGGGAGAAUGAUUGGUGAAAGUUAAAUCAUAUAUAAGUACAUCAAGUUCUUGGUGAAUUUGGUUUGUUCAAGAUAUCAUCCCAUUUAGAGAAUAUUAAUGGAGAUAUAUGUCAUUGCUCAUACUCAUGGAUUAAGAGUUGUGUAUGAGGAUCAGAUGACACCAAAGUCUACAAAGUUACAUAUACAAUAUGGGAGUGAAACAACUUGAUUGUGAUAAAGGUGUCAAUAGAUGGAACUUAGUGAUGAAAACAACCUUGGAUUAAGAGACUUGGUACAAUCGAUUUAAAAGACUAUGAUGUGUAGCGUCCAAAAAGGAUAGGAGGACUAGUCCCUACUAUUCCCCAAUCAAUCUCAUCUUAAGGGGGGUAGUACCUUGAUACCACGGGUUGAUGUCUUUUCAAUCUAUCUUGGAGUGAAUACUUGUUUCUUGAGAUAAUCUAUGGCUAUGAUCAUUUGUCCUUAUCGUGUUACUGAUGUUGGUCACUUGAUGACAGGAAGUGUAGUGUCCCAUGGAUAUGUGGGAAGAUUAUGAUCACCUUGCCUUUGAAGAAAGAUGUUAUGAGUAUGACAAAGCUGAGUGUUAUCAAAAUAAUAAUACAAAAGAGCAAGUUGACAUUGAAUCAAAUCAGAAUCCACAACGGUGAAAGCAUAAAAGGAAAGCCCUUAAGAAGCCUGCUCUCGGAAGUAAGGUGCAGCGGAAUUAUAUCAAUGGAAGGCUGAGCAAUGUGGAUAGGAAUAACAUUCAAGGAGCCACCAAAGUGGUGGGAGGCUAUAUUCAAGUGGACUCAGUUCUUUCAUUUCCGUCGACUUGGUAAAGACGAUCGAAUGGGUGAAGUGUCCAACGAGGAAGCCUUUGUUAGUUCAAACCCCAAUGGGAGAAAUACAUGCAGAUCAGGUUUGCUCGAAUAUCAAUUUGGUCAUAAGCAAGGAAACUUCACUGUAAACCUUAUUGUGCUAGAGUUACUCGACAUUCCUUUGGUUCUUGGCAAUGGAUGGUUAUGUGCACACAAAGGAGUGAUCUAUGCUACCCAGUGGAAAAUUUUCUUAACCGCACCAUCAGGGAAAAGAAUUGAGUAUUAGGGUGGUCCACUCCUACCUCAGGAGGCAUAUCCAUGCUAAGUUAUGAUGUCUUUGAGUUGUAUAAGUCAAAAAGUUGGUAGUCAAGAUGGAUCUUGAUCAAUUACGAAUAAUAGACAUUGCGUGGAAACCAUGAUUCACAAGUUGUGAUCCCGAGACAUAAGUAUUUACAUUGGAAUACAAGUUGGGAAGUCUAAAUAGUUAUCAAGAUCUUGUUCUUGUUUCUCUUUUGGAAUCCGUGUCUCUUCUGAAUCUCGAGGACGAGAUUCAUUUUAAGGAGGGUAGAUUUGUAACACCCUAAAAUUUUGCACCUUUUUGAAUAGAUGAAAAUUAAUUUAAUUUUAUAUUUUUGUGCUCAUGAAGUAUAGGGAAAUAAUAUUUUUCAUUAAAAUAAAACUUAUCAUAGGAUUUAGCAACUUGUUGUGCAUUCAUUUUGGAGCAUUUAUUUUCAUUGUAUUGCGUGAUUUUGGGCAAAGUCAAAAUAUUUCAAACUGUUAUAUUUAAAAGAUUUUUUAAAUGAUUGGAAAAUGGCUUUGGAAUAAAAGAAAGGAAAAUAGAAAAAAAAUUAAAGACAAAACCCCUCCCUCUCUUUGUUUUAGCCCGAGAAGGCCCAACCCCUUUUCCCUCCCCCUUUCUUUUUCCCCUGCUGGAGCCAAGCUUUUCUUCUCUUUACCUUUUCCUCGGUCGGCCCAACGUCCAGCUCCGCCAGCACCUCGGCCCAGCGCGCGCAGCAAGCCCCGCCUCUCUCUCUCUCGACCCAAUGGCCACCCCAGCAGCGUGUCUUCCCCUCUUCUCUCUGUCUGGCGAUCGGGUCACGCUUCCUCUCUCGCUGACCGGUGGAGGCCACAUGGCAGCGCCUUCCCCUUCUUUCCUCGCGUGGCCAAACCAGACACGGCAUCAAACGAACGGCAAAUCCCGCUUCUUCGGGAUUCCUUACCAAAGCUGCACGUGACCCGCUCCUAUAAAGCUUGUAGCCCUCCUGCGCACCCCCUUUACCCAUCAACGAGAUUAGGAGCCGGCCUUUUUGCCGGUGUCCCCGUUUUGGAUCUCGCCGAGCCAAGGCUCAACCGCCACCAAGAACGUCGUCGUCUGUGACUCUAGUUCCUCCGUAAGUGCUUUGCCGAGCUUAUUGAGGUGCUUGCGAAGCGACCGAGCUUUCUUUCCCACGAAAUCACGCUUUGUUUUGCUUGUCUCAGGUCGCCGAAGUUCACAGGGAACACACUAUCCGCCAUAUCAUGCAGCUGACCAUCCUCGAACCCUCUCUACCUCCAUAAAUCCUAUAGGUGAGUUCGCACGAAGUUUCUAUACGCUCCGAUGUCUUCCUCGUCAAAAACCGUGGUCUCUAGGGCCAAAAACACCAACUCCGCCGAGGAGCAAGGCUCUCCGGCCAUGGCGCCACCGCCGGAGGCACUGUAGCUGGCCGGUGCCCCCUCUCUCCCUUCCCAGCUUCUAAUCUGAGCCAUUCGAUCCAAGAUCAACGGCUCCUAUUAAAUCGUACCCCUUCGGCUGGACAAUUUCUUAAAGGGACCCCGCAGUUUUCAAGUAUAAAACCUAUGGUCCAAAGCACAUUUUAUGAAAUACGCCUUCUCAUUUUGGAAAACGUAUUCUAUUCCGGUUUAAUCCAAAAUACGUUUUCAAGAAUUACAAAAUUGCCACUGAGCUUGUUUUGGCUAUAAAUUAUUCAUUCUUACUCCGAUUUGACCCAUUCAAAUUGCGUUAGGUUAUUUUCAUGGGCUCUAUAUGUUAGUAACACUGUUUUCUCAGAUUGAAACCUUUUAAUUUUGUGAUCCUAUUUAAUUAAUUACUUUUUCUAUAUAAAAUCUUAGAAAAUUCAUAUCUUCUCUGUUUUAGCUAUGAUUUUCGUGAUCUUUACGUCUAUGAAAUCGUAGCGAUACGUAGAAUCAUUUUACAAACUUUUCAUACUGUUUUUUAUAUGAUUGGUGUACUAUUCUAAUUGUAGCCUUGUUUGUUUCGUGUAUGUUGUCUCCGUUCAUUUGUGUGUUGAUGAUCGAUGAUCGAGUUUAGACGGAGAGCAGUUUUUGGUGAUUAAGAUCAGAGCUUUGGUAACAAGUAAGACCAGCAAAGUUAGCAAGAUCAGCAAGAGCAAUUGGAUCAAGGCAAGUAUAUCUUGGGACUAUCCUUGUUAUCUAUACACAAUUAAUACAAUAUAUCAUAUGCAUGUAUCCACCUUGAUAACCUUAGCAAAAUCAUAGAUGCUUGUUAUAUUGAAUUCCUUGAUACCUAUUUGGAUAUGCAUUUGGGUAGUUCUUGAUAGAGCUUGAUUAUAAUCCAUGAUCUUGUAACAUGAAUAUUUGGAUAUAAAAUAAACAAUAAAAUAAGCUUUCUAGCAACUUAAACAUAAAGGGUGGAAAGAACUCUGGCUUUUACAGGAUUGAUCUUGACCCUCCAUAAGGACUUAUCCCUUAGCAAAAGCUGGGACAACUCGUACAGCCAUGAGGGCUAUAUGGCUCUGGCUUUAGUCAAGUAUGAGUAACUUUUCUAGCUCGUUAGCGCUUAUCCGUGUGGCGCAAUUGGGGAAUAGCAGACCGUGGAUUCCUGUGUGUGGAUCACAUGGACUGACUAAUGAAACCAAGCGGUCCUAACUUGUUAGACGAACCUUUGAAAGACUUCAUAGUGAUCCCUACCGACCUUCCUUGGUAGUGGGUUAAGAGGCUGAUCACCUCAGGUGAAAGGGUAAAUCAUGACUCAUGGGUAAAGAUGUACAACCUCUGCAGAGUGUUAUAUCUGAUAUACUAGCCGUGCCCACGAAUACGGGUGGCCCGGAAAACUGACGGAAUGGAUGGACACUAAUGAACAUGAUUAAUGAUGAUAAAUUAUGGUUUAUUAUGUUGUUUAUAUGUAUUAUUUUUAAAUUCUUGUAUACAUUGAUCAUGUGGUUAUGGGAUUAAUUAUGCUACCUUGAUAUUUGCUAUCCAAUGAUUAAAUAUGCUAUCUACAUAUAAAAGCUAAACGCAGUCAAACCAGUGUCACCUAAUUAAGCCUCAUGAACCCCUAGUUAUACUUGUUGAGUACGAUAUGUGCUCACUCUUGCUAUUUUGCCCAUACUUCAGGAGGAGUGUUAGCCUUGUGAUCAACCAGUCAGUUUGGAUCCUGUAGAGUGGAGUUAAUACCCGAAGUUUGGAGUUGUCUAUCUGCUGUUUGCUAUCAAAGGUUAUCUGUUUUAUACUAAGUAUGAUAUAUAUUUAUGCAUUGUCUUUUGAUAUUGUGGACACUUGCUAACACCACUUGAAUACUAGGUUGUCAUCCCCAGCAUGGCACUAGAGUGUACUAUGGUAUUUAUACGCACACAGAUAAAUCCGCAAGCGCACGGAUACCAUUGUAGCUUUUACCCGGUUAAAGGUUUUAUCGUAUCCACAGGGAAACGGUAGAACCAACUACGCUCUAACUUAACCAAGAUAGAUAGAUAGGUGUAAAUAGGAAAGAUGGUAGAAUUGAAAAAGAACAAUAUUUAAGGUAAGAUAACAAUGGGUGAUAAUAUGGGAAUAGAGAGUAGAGCAAUCUAGUAUAUGGGCGAUGGUAGGAGAAUAGAGAGGAUAACUAUGGUUUCUCUACUUCAAAGGGGUAUGUCUAUGUCUGGGACGAACCACGUGAUAAGAAUACACCACAAAGGAUGCUUAUCCAUAGGUCGAUAAACCCUACCAGUCCUGCUAUCGGGAGGUGGACUAGAAGGGGCCAACGUAACUGUCACCUACGCGGCCUACCACACGAUCCCGCUAGACAGGGGAUAUCCACACGUAAUCUAGGUCUAAGCACCACGCUUACACCUAUACUACAACUCUCACCUAUAGCGUCCUAUAGAUUAAAGUACUCAAAAGAGUUGUGAACCAGAACAUACAUGGAUAGUAAUUGCAUAAUGAAAUAAGAAGUAGAUUACCAGAGUCAUCCCAUGAGCAAGCUUGACUAGAGCUUGAUCAUGGCGAAGUACAACCAGAGGAAGAACCGACAGACCGGCCUCUCCUCCAAUCCUCCCUCGCUCUCCAUCUCGCUACUAUCUAGAUCUACUCUAGUUUAGAUAAGAGAGGAGAGCUCUCAUCUCCAAACCCUAGCUUUUGCUAUGUCUAUGAAUAAUAAAUAGGGAUGAAGGGGUGUGUCUCCUCUAGGGGCCAAGGGGUCUGCUUAUAUAGUCCUUCCAAGUGAAUAUGGGCCAUCGGAUCAAACCGACAUUAGUCACACGGUUUUCCUUGAUCCUUUAGGUCAGUGGAGCAUGAUCCACGAGAUUGAACGUGAUUGGUGGAAAAAGCAGGGUGGGCGCCCUGUCCCCGAGCCCGCUCGGCUUCCCGUUCGUUCCCGUGGCUUCUGGAGUCUUCUAGAUGAUAGAAAAUUGUGCGACACGUUAAUAUCUCUAUGUAAACCUGACAUGUGGGCCUUUCCUCCAUAUUUCCUGAUAACCCCCUGCAGAAAUAGACAAACACCAAAACUCGUGGAAUUCUGUCAGAUAAAACUCUAAGUCUGGGUGUUGGUUGCAUUUGGAUCCUUUUCUUUAUUUAUUUGAUGAUUAUAUUUAGUACAUAAGGACCGUCAACAACUCCUCCAAGCUUACCUCUUGCUCGUCCAUGAGCAAGGAUGGACUCAAGAGUUUCUGCAGUGGUUUUAUGCCUUAAAGGUACACAUGCGUUUAAAUAAGAUCUCAUCUCUGGGUUAGGGUAAACUGUUAAGAUUUAAACUUACUCAUUUUUCUUUCCACCAUGGGGCUUGCAACUGCCACUUGUGUCUUGAGCAGUUAAAAGAUAGAACGGUCAAGUCAAGCGCCAUGUCUCUUGUUCUUUGAUCAACUAUAGCUCUGGAGUUUUUGUAGAUUUUCAAAAUAAAACUCAGAGAUUCCUUGUAUGACUCUCUCAAUUCUCUCUUUUGUGGUAUUUCUGGAUCCUUACCAAGGCAGUAAUGGUGUAUGCCUUCUCUCAAAGUAUGUAGUAUUUUUGGUAUGAGGCAUAGUGACAUUGCUUUCUCUCUCACCCUAUUCUAAUAAGGUUUUGAUAUGUGGAGCUCAUAGGUGGGAGACGACUAAUACAUACUUACAAGACAUUUAUUGCAUAGUCAAACCAUGGAUCCAGAGAAACAAGCCAAUAAGUCAAAUCAAGAUGUAAAUGUGUGGCGAAUGAAUGGUGUAUGGUGAUGAUGGUGAAGACAAUGGUGAACGUCUAAUUCUACUUUUGCUCUUUUGAGGGGAUACAUACCUUUGUUGCUCUUUGAAACUUUUUGAGGGGAAUGAGAUGCUCUUCUUUUUCUUUUUCUUUCCUCUCAGGUGGGUAUCUUGUACCCCUAAUUCUACUGUCGGACACUUGUCCAUUUUUACCUCUCGUCUCACUUUUUCUUUUCUUCGAGGUUCCGGGCACUUGCCCCUUUUUAUUUCCUCGUAUAUAUUUUUUUAAAAGCACUCACCCUCCUGGAAUAAUGUAGCAAGUGGUAGUAACCAAAAUAUCUCAAGCAUUUAUUUCACUGGGAAAAACAGGAAUGAGAUAAUAUUUUUGGCUAUUCUCUCCCGGAUAGGAGUAGAAUAAUUUUGGGUGAAUCUGAGAUGGAAAUGAGUGGAUGUAUGUGGAUGCGUACUUCCGGAGUAGAAGUAACAUGUAUGAGUGAACGUGCAAGUGAAUCUUGAUUUUAACCGCAUGACAAGCUCCUAAGGGUCUACAUAGCUUGACCACACUCAAUGCUCAUAAGCAGUAAAAAGUAAAUGUAUGGUUCAUAGUCUAAUAAGCAUGUAUAUAUGGCUGUGGUAUGAUUUUAAACUCUCAUCAUACAGGAACUCAUCAUGUAACAUUUUAAAAAAUUUCAAAGAUAAAAUUCUUCAGAAUUCUAGCAUCUCUAGGAACAGAUAAACAGCAGCUCAACCUUCCCAUAUCAUAUCCGUUAACGACUUAGACUUUAGAUCAAGUACUCUUCCCACAAGUUUAGGUUUAGAGCAAAUCUUAAUUCAUAAUAAUCAUGCCUAAACUUGAGAGAGAAUUUAAUUUUGAGAACUAGUCAUGGUAGAGCAACUAUUCAUCAUUUCCAUGUGAGAGCUUAUCAUGAGGGUUCAUAGCAAACUUUAUUUAUUUAUUUAUUUAGCAAACUAAGCAAAGAUAUAUAUAUAUAUAAGCACAAAAAUCUUUAUUUGGGUUUUUAUGAUUAUGCAUCUUUUUAUUAUUUAAGUAAAGUAUAAACGCGAGUAGAAACACUUAGCUGGAUAAAUGGGGGUGCUCUCCCCCAAGCUGGAUUUUGACAUAAUUUCUUUUGAUGCAGCUUGCAGGUGGCAGAGGUGUAUUUGAAUGUCGGCAGCACCCUGACAGCGAUUAGGAUGUCCUCCGUCUGCUAGUCUUCUUUGAUCCUUGAAUUCCAUGGAGCUCAAAUAGAUAACAAAGCUUUGUGGAACUGGUUAAGUGUUAGCAUAAAAUCUCUUUGCCUUUAUCAUAUUGAGCUUCCUCUAUUACUCUCUUUGGUAGGAUCAUAAAUUUAUUUUUAUAUUUUCAUUUCUAUAGGACAGGAAUAUAUUUAUUUUAUUGUUACGCCACCACAGUGAAUGUACUUAUAGAAUAUAUUUAUUUUCACAUGGGCCUUACUAUUUUUAACAUUUUUAUUUUCUUUUCAAGAUAGCAUGAUUAACUAACAAGCCAUUUAUGGAAAGUAAAUAAUUUGAGGGAAAAGGGAAUGUAGAAAGGAUAAAUAUGGAUAACUACUGAUUUUACCUUUCUUCGAGGGUUCAAUGUUUUAAGUCUUCUGAACAAGGCUUCUCACCAUGUUUAUUCUUCAGGUGCGUCAUUUGAUUCACGCGUGGACCUUGACGUCUGCACCUCUUGAUACGGUGUCACCCAUGUUCUUCGUUUGCCCAGUAGUUCAAAGUGCGGCGUUGGCAGCAUCCUGCUCAGUGUGUUUGUGCUCGUAGAUCCAGGUCCUUCACUUGGUAGAGUCUGAGAGUUGAAAAAUCCCCUGUGUUUCUCAAAAUGUGUCCUGCUCAUAGAGACAAGGUAGAGAUCAAGUGCAUAGGUCCUGUUGGUGGAAAACACCAACAGAACCAAAAGUGUAUUUGUUCUUCUCUAACCUUAAGCAUAGUGAGCAAGACAAAUUUGAUGGAUAAUAAGAUCAUGAGUGUAGUAUUUAAAACAUUUGUCAGAUCAGAUUGCUCAACCUUAUGGAAAGAUAAUCUAUCUAUGUAUAUGUCUUUUUCUUUAUAUCUUCUCAAAGAUUGAAUGUGCAACAUUUUAGCUCAUAUGAUUAGGAGUGUGGAAUCAUGGAGGUAGUACUAGGAACAAAGAUUAAAGGACUAAAUAUGCUGAAUCAGUUGGGUUGGUUAACCUAGAGUUGUAAAUCAUACAUGUUUGUCUCUUUUAUUCAUAUGAACGCCAGAACUAAGGAGAAGCUUAUAAAAGUGAUAGUCAAGUACCUUAAGAUGUUACCUUACUUGAAGAGUGAUGGUACAAUAUCACCUUGUGGAAGCUUUCCUUUCUUAGCGGUUGUGCAUCGUGUUCGUGGCACCCUCCAUGCAUCAUCUCUUAUGAGCUACGUCUUCCUUGUGUAACUUGUUAAACUUGAUGUGUCUCUCUCUUUGUCUCCAAUGUGAGUUUAUCUCAGGACUUCCUAGGUCGAUAUUGAAAGUUUUCCUACAGGGGUUAGUCCAACAAAAUAUCCAAUAUCUACUAUAGCAUACUAUCGGCUCAAAAAUCAACCUAGACACCAUGUCUAAUUUGAUUUAGGAGGGCAUUUCAACCUAAGCACCAUGCUUAAUUUUAAAUCCCUUGGAAGUAAGAUCAUCAUUCCUAAACUAAGCACCAUGCUUAAUUAAGAGAUAAAUAAAACUACUCCAAACCUAGACAUAUACUAAAGCAAAUAAAGGUAGCAUGAGAGCAUUUAUAGAGAUCUACUCAAGUGGAGAUGAAGUGGUAUGAUUAGCAUUUAACAAAUUGAGCAUGUCUCAAAGGUAGGGACAACCAACAUAGCAACGUGGCAAAGGAUGUUUUUAUGUAAAGUACUCCCCCAAGCUUGAAUUUUGCAAAAUUCAAGUUUGGAUUUAAUUCAAUGUUGUAUGAUGAUUGGUUGGACAUACCUUGUGCUUGUCAUUCAUCCAAUCUUCUUGCUCCAAUCCUGGAAAGGUUAGUGACAAAAAUACCCAAAGAAAUAUUUUUUUACAAUUAUCCUUAUAUGCUCAAUACACAAGGUAAUGUUGUAAAUAAUUAAAAGCUCAUGUUACGAUCUGAUCAGUGCUUAUUUUAGGACACUAAGCUUGUCCUUGGGAAACCAUCAAAUUAUGUCGGCGAAGUGGUUUCCCUUCCAACGCUGACCCAUAUCAAGAUCAACUCAAUGGGAUCUGCAAUAUUUAUUAUAGACAUAUGCAUCGACAACCGCCCUUUUAAAGUUUUUGUAAAUAGAAAGGAAGAGGGGGUUGGAGAUCUCAAAUGUGGUGAUGUUGGAGAGACCAAUAGAUUGGGAAGAUGUUGCAUAUGAGCAUGGAGUAAAUGAAGUGGCUAUGAAAUAAAUUCCAUGCUCAUUAAUGUUAUCUUCGUCUCCAAUUUGAAUGUUCGGAGUUUCUCCUAGAUUGGUCUCACCUAUGUCUUCUUCUAUAGUUGGAUGAAUCUCAUCUUCAAAGGGAGUCAAGAACUCACCAUUUGAAAUUGAGCCAAAGUCAGAAUCCAUUAAGGCUUCUUCCUUAUCCAUCCAUUCUACACAUCUAGCCAUUUAGAACUUGUGAUCGGGAAAGGGGAGGUGUUAGAAUUUUCUAUAUGGCUUAGCUCUCCUUCUAUGACAUUACUUGACAUGUCAUCCUCAUGGUCUUUAUGACUCCUAUGGUUUGAUCGUCUUGAUGAUUGUUAGGAUCAUCAUGAGACUUAAAAGGAGAGGGAUAAGAGGGGUCUCUAAGAUCAAGGAUGGAUUUAGAAUUUGUGAACAUGGAAGGGGAGCAGAUAGAAUCUUCUAUAUGGUUUAGCUCUCCUUCACUUGAUAUGUCAUCCUUCACUUCUUCAUAACAGGAACCAGGACAUUCUCUAAGAGAACCAUUAUUGCAAGGAUUUGAAUUAUCCCUGCUUGAAGGUCUCUUAUGGAACCAGAAUCUAAACCAUCAGCAUCUCAAAGAUUUAAGGUCGAAAUUCCUUCCUCCCUUGGAUAAUUUUUUAGUAUUGAUGGUUUAGGAUCGAUAGCUAAAGUUUGGGAUUGAAGUGGUUGUGAUCUGGCUAUCGAAACUUCUUCUUCUUGUCUAGGAACUAGUUCUUUCUCUUUCUCAGGGAUAUAAAUGCUAGCAGACUUUCUGCUCAUUAAAUCAAUCAAAUUCCAAGCUUCACUAGCAGGUAGGUGAUAGAAGGAUCCUCUAGAGGCUGUAUUCAAGGUUUGCUUAUUUUCCCUACUAAGGCCCUCAAAAAAGUGAAUUAGAAGAACUUCUUCUGGAAUAGAAAGCUUUGGGCCAGUGAGAGUAAGGUUAAUAAAGCGGUCCCAUGAUUUGCCAAGAGAUUCUUCUUCCAGUUGUCUAAAAGAAAGAAUCUCACGCCGAGUUCCACCACUUUGGAGAUUGGAAAAUAUUUAAAAAGAAAACUAUUAUAUAACUCCUUCCAUUCUCCAUGAGCACUCCCUACUUUGAGUUUGUACCAAUGUCUAGCUUUUCUUGUUAAAGAGAACGGAAAGAGCUUCCAUUUAAGGGUCUCAUCGCACAUGCCUUCUAUGCGAAGGAGGUCACAGACUCGAUAAAACUCUCUUAGGUGUGUGUAUGGGUUUUUCUCACCUUCUCUUGAGAAAGGUUGCUUUUGAACAAAUUCUAUGUAUUCUGGGUCUAUCUCAAAACUAGAUGCUAUGAUAGGCUUUGAAGAUUUUGAUGGUUCGAGAUGUGUGCCCGUAGGUCUAUGAAACUGAUUGUAACACCCUAAAUUUUGCUUCUUUGAAAAUAAAGCUAAAAUUAUUUAUUUUGUAUUUAUGUGCUUAUGAAAAUAUAGUAAAAUGAAAAUUUCCUUAAAUUAAAAUUCAUCAUAGGGUUUUUAGCAACGUUGUUGUGCAUACAUGCUGGUACAUAUGUUUUAUGUGAUAUUUGUUUGUUGCUCCUUUGUGUUUUGAGACUAAGCAAAAUUUUUAAAAUUUCGUUUAGUAGAACGAUCUUCGUACAUCUUUAUCUUUAUCUACAACCAAAUUCCUUGUUUCUAAGCUCAAGUUUUUAUUAGGAGCUUCCUAAAAUCUUUUCUUUAUCACUCAAAGCACUUCUUUUAGUUCCUCGUUCAUCAAGCAGUCUCUACAAUCUUUGUAGGAAUUUUCCAGCUUCCGUUCUCACUUUUCUGUAAGCAUAAUCUAAUUUUUAGAUGCUCCAAAUUAUCUUAUCAUGAGAUACAAAUACUUUAAUUGGUUUUCUCAUGUUCCAUAAUGUCUCCGAGAUUUUUCCUUGAAUUUCUGGAGUAUUUGGAGUAUUUUUCAUGGCUUAAAUCAUAAUUCUGGACUUUUCUAGGAUUAUUUUAUUCGCCAAAUUAAUUAAUUUCGAAAAUAAUAAAAUCUUUUAUUUUAUCCCACGAUCAAGCUCAUGAUCUCAAUGGUCAAUGUCUUUAUUUACUAAUGGGCUUUAAUAGUUAAUUAGGCCUAUGAGUAAAGAUGAAGGUUGCAACAUCAAUUAGUACUAUAUUGCUAAUUGAUGUGGAUGUGAAGAGUUUUUCUCUCUAUAUAUAUGUACCAACUCCUUGGGUUAAGUACACCAAAACUACCAUAUGGAGAGCUUCUAGUUUGGAAAAUCCCUCGUGUAGUAAAAUUAUAUUUUUCUUCUUUUGCCGUCGGGCAGCCAUCGUGGACGCUUCUAUGCCCUGCACAAGUCGGAGCUCCCUGCCGUGACCAUAGUUCUAUCUACGGUAGCUACCUCUCCGGCCGUCGUCCGUCUCCGUUGGUGAGAAAUCCAGUCAUAAGCAGACCCUGGUCAUCACGCCGCCGCCAUCCAGAUCAAUCUAUACUAGGCGACUUCUUUACGUGAAGUCCAUGUUAUCAGUGAACCAGUGAAUCCAAGGUGCAGUUGGGUCGACGGUGCUGCGUGGUUGUGUUGUCGUCGAGUUCAGAUUGGAGAUGGAAAUUUCGCCAGACCAAAUCUCUGGUGCUGCCCUGUUCCCUGACAGAGACACUGCCGUGCUGUCGGAUCAUUGGAGGCCUCUCGUCGUUCCUGUUGCUAGUUGUUGCUGAGCACGUGAAUCAGGGAAGGAGUCAAAGCUUGUUGCCGUGGGUGUAGUGACUUGGUGAACUUUGCUACAUGAGCCAGCAAGUAAGCGUCGUCGUCUUGCUUGCCUAUAGAGAGCAGGUGCACAAUCUGUCCUAGACAUUGUCUAUAACUCUUUGCGUAGUUUCCUCGUCUUAGUUCUGUUUUAGUCCAUUCAAAUUAUAUUAGACUCAUAGCAAUACAAUCUACGUUUUAAUAGUAUUGUUAAAUAUGUUGUUGAGCACUAUAAAAUAAUUAUUAACUUGAUUAAUGUUCAUGUAACUAGUUUUAUUAAUAAAAUUAACAUAGGAGUUACACUUUGAUAUUUUAUAUGUAAAUAUUAGAAUAAUUUAAUUGCGAUCACUAAUGCAUCUUUAAAUUAUAAAUUGUUUAGCUGAACUCCGGACAUAUCCAGUUAUAGUAGAUGCCCUCACAUUUUAAUUUCUCUUACGAGGUAUAGUUUGAAUAACCUGAAUUAGUAAGUUCCACAUGGUCUUUCUUAAUUAAAACAUAUGAGCUAUUCUCUUUUAUACAAUAUAAAAGUUUUAGUAGUAGUUUCUUUUUCAUCGUGGCUCCGAUUAGAGUGCUUUUCACAUCUCUCUGUGCUCCUAGGAAUGUGUAGAUUAGUUUUCAAACCUUUUCAUUGAUUGGUGUACUGUUCUAAUUAUAGCCUUGUUUGCUUCGUGUAUGUUGUCUCCGUUGUUUGUGUGUUAAUGAUCGAUGAUCGAGUUUAGUCGGUGAACAAUUCGUGGUGAACAAGAGUACUUCAGUGAUCAAGAUCUGAGCCUUGGACAACUAGUGAGACCAGCAGGAUAAGCAAGAGUAAUUGGAUUAAGGCAAGUAUAGCAUUUGGAUUUUAUUUCUGUGACCAUGAUCCUGUGACUAGAUUAAUGUUAAGUAAUAAAUAAUAAAAAUGACUUUUUAACAACUUGAUGAUUUAUCUGUACGUGAUCACCCGGGACAACAGUGCAACCAUGAGGGCUAUAAUGGCUCUGGCUUUAGCUCAGUAUGAGGACCUUUUUUCUAGCUUGUUAGCGGUUACCUUAAAUGGCGUAAGAACGGCUAGACACGUUGGGUAUAGUGUGGCCUCUAUCCGUGUGUAUAGGCCGUGGGUUAUGUGCCAUGGAAGGGGGGCUCUAUAUCUGCCUGCCGAGUGAAUCUAAUGGCCCUAACUUGUUAGACGAAACCUUUGAAAGGCUUCAUAGUGAUCCCUGCCGACCUUCCUUGGAAGUGGGUUAAGAGGCUGAUCACCUCGGGCGAAAGGGUAAAUCAUGACUCAUGGGUAAAGAUGUACAACCUUUGCAGAGUGUUAAAACUAGUAUACUAGCCGAGCUCACGGUCAGGAGCGGCCUUGGGGACAUCUACAUUAAGGGUGAUGAAUCUUGUGUGUUAAAUAUGCUCAUUGUUUAUUAUUUAAUGCUUUACAUUAUUUAUGUCACAUUGAUCAUAGUUUCUAUACUUGUUGAGUUCGACAUGGACUCACUCUUGCUAUUUCCCCCAUACAUCACGAGGAGUGUUAGGCUUGUGAUCAACCAGUCAGUUGGAUCCUGUAGAGUGGAGUUAAUACCCGAAGUUGGAGUUAUCUAUCCGCUGUUUGCUAAUAAAGGUUAUCUCUUUUAUAUUAUGUACGUUAUAUAAUUUAUGCAUUGUCCUUUGAUAUUACCCCUUAUUUGUAGCUAUAUGUGAGAUUUGACUUCUAAAACUCACAUAUGGUGCAUAUCUGAUUUUGUCCUUAAAAUCAGGUAUUACACUGAUAGAUAGACAUGUUUGCAUUCAUGAUAGACCAGAAAUCAAGGAUUAGAUAAGAAAGAAUAGCAGAGAUGAGGCAAAGGAUAAAAGGAAAAUAUAUUAUUUUUUAUUAUUUUUUUAUUUCUAGAAAAAUGAUUAAGCUAGUUCGUAGUCAACUCAGCAACUGUCUCCCCGGCAACGGCGCCAAAAAUGCUUGUUGACACUUGCUAACACCACUUGAAUACUAGGUUGUCAUCCCCAGCAUGGCACUAGAGUGUACUAUGGUAUUUAUACGCACACAGAUAAAUCCGGAAGCGCACGGAUACCGUUGUAGCUUUUACCCGGUUAAAGGUUUUAUCGUAUCCACAGGGAAACGGGAGAACCAACUAUGUUCUAACUUAACCAAGAUAGAUAGAUAGGUGUAAAUAGGAAAGAUGGUAGAAUUGAAUAAGAACAAUAUUAAAGGUAAGAUAACAAUGCGUGAUAAUAUGGGAAUAGAGAGUAGAGCAAUCUAGUAUAUGGGCGAUGGUAGGAGAAUAGAGAGGAUAACUAUGGUUUCUCUACUUCAAAGGGGUAUGUCUAUGUCUGGGACGAACCACGUGAUAAGAAUACACCACAAAGGAUGCUUAUCCAUAGGCCGAUAAACCCUACCAGUCCUGCUAACGGGAGGUGGACUACAACGGACCAACGUAAGUGUCACCUACGCGGCCUACCACAUGAUCCAGCUAGACAGGGGAUAUCCACAAAUAAUCUAGGUCUAAGUACCACGCUUACACCUAUACUACAACUCUCACCUAUAGCGUCCUAUAGAUUAAAGUACUCAAAAGAGUUGUGAACCAGAACAUACAUGGAUAGUAAUUGCAUAAUGAAAUAAGAAGUAGAUUACCAGAAUCAUCCCAUGAGCAAGCUUGAUUAGAGCUUGAUCAUAGCAAAGUACAACCGGAGGAAGAACCGACAGGCCGACCUCUCCUCCAAUCCUCCCUCGCUCUCCAUCUCGCUACUAUCUAGAUCUACUCUAGUUUAGAGAAGAGAGGAGAGCUCUCAUCCCUAAACCCUAGCUUUUGCUCUGUCUAUGAAUAAUGAAUAGGGAUGAAGGGGUGUGUCUCCUCCAGGGGCCAGGGGGUCUCCUUAUAUAGUCCUUCCAAGUGAAUAUGGGCUGUCGGAUCAAACCGAUAUUAAUCGCACGGUUUUCCUUGAUCCUUUAGGUCGGUGGAGCAUGAUCCACGAGAUUGAACGUGAUUGGUGGAAAAAGCAGGGUGGGCGCCCUGUCCCCGAGCCUGCUCGGCUUCCCGCUCGUUCACGUGGCUUCUGGAGUCUUCUAGAUGAUAGAAAAUUGCGCGGCACGUUAAUAUCUCUAUGUAAACCCGACAUGUGGGCCUUUCCUCCAUAUUUCCUGAUAACCCCCUGCAGAAAUAGACAAACACCAAAACUCGUGGAAUUCUGUCAGAUAAAACCCUAAGUCUGGGUGUUGGUUGCAUUUGGAUCCUUUUCUUUAUUUAAUUGAUGAUUAUAUUUAGUACUUAAGGACCGUCAACAGAUAUUACCCCUUAUUUGUAGCUAUAUGUGAGAUUUGGCUUCUAAAACUCACAUAUGGUGCAUAUCUGGUUUUGUCCUUAAAAUAGGUUAUUACAUCAUGCCUCCUUUCCAAGAAUCUAGCUUUUUACUAUUUUUUCUACCAAAGUCAGCUGGUCAAUAACAUGUAAUGUACUUGGGCUAAUAGGAACACCAAGAUACUUAAUAGGAAAAAUACCAGUUUGACAGUUGAAAAUUUCAGCAUAGACACUAGCCCAAUUAUUAUUAUCAUUUAUAAUCAGCACUUCACUUUUAUAGAAAUUAAUCUUGAGUCCAGCCAUCAAUUCAUACAUAUAUAAAAGCAACUUCACAUUUCUGGCUCCCUUAAGAUUAUGUUUAAGACAAAUUAUAGUAUCAUCGGGAUAUUGUAACACAGCUACACCUUUAUCCACAAUACGAUCUAUCAAGCCUGUAAAAAGAUUGUUUAAUUGAGCUUUGUGAAUCAUUCAAGAUAGACCAUCAGCCAAAAAAUUGAACAAGAUUGGUGAUAGAGGAUCACCUGUCUCACCCCUUUAAAGCUUUAUAAGGACUAGUUAAAUUGUUCAAUUUGACACUAACAGUCCCCACAGACUACUUGUUCAAUCCACUUGCACCAUUUAGCACAAAAACCUUGAGCAAGUAAACAACUAAACAAAAAAUUCCACUUGACCUUAUCAUAUGUUUUUUUUUCAAAGUCUAAUUUAAGAAUAACCCAAAUUUGAUUCCUCAUCUUGGCCUCAUGAAGUAUUUCAUAUAACACUAUAACCCCAUUCAUAAUAUUUGUCCCCUUCAUGAAAGGUUUUUGAUUAGGAUGAAUGAGCUUGUCUGCCACUCUUUCCAAGUCUCGAAGUCAAUGUUUUUGUGAUGAGUUUGUAUAAACAGUUCAAAAGACAAAUGGGUCUAAAUUGUUGAAUUUUAGAAGCAUCAGUAAUUUUGGGUAAAAGGGUAUAAUACCAUAAUUGAUUCUACUAAUAUCAAUUUUUUCUUCAUAAAAAUCACUGAAUAGCUGAAUUAUGUCAUCUUUAACAAUAUUCCAACAAGUUUGGUAGAACUCAAUAGGUAUCUUAUCAGAACCAACUUAUUUAUUUUUUUCCAUCUGAAACAAGGCUUAUUUAAUGUCUGCCUCAAAAAAGGGUGUAGUCAAAGUUAUAUUGUCUUCACUAGAAACCUUUUCCAACUCAUCCCAUAAGCUAUUGUCAAUGUGAAUAUUAUGCUCCUCAGCAGGACCAAAAAGAUCAGCAUAAUACUCAGCUGCAUGUUUAAAAAGAUUUUCAUUACCCUCAAUCACAAUUCCAUCACUCUCUAAGAAUAAAACUAAACUUUUCCUUUUCCUGCCAUUAGCAAUACUAUGAAAGUAUUUAGUAUUACUAUCACCUUUAAGCAACCAUUGCUCAUGACAUCUCUUUACCCAAUAAGUUUUCUCUUGGUCCAGUAGUUGUAAGGAUUCCUUAACCCACCAAACCUUCCUAAUCAUCUGCUCAUGAGUGAGAUCAUUAAUCUCCUCAAUAACUUCCAACUCAGAUAAUUCUUCACUAAUCAUUUUUAUCCUUUUUCUCAACUCCCCUUGUAAGUUGAAACCCCAACCUUUGAAAUAUUGUUUCAAUAACUUCAGUUUUUGUUGUAUUCUAUCCAAAGAAGUUCUAGCAUUAUACUGUUUUGACCAAAUUUUUUCAACUGUCACUAAAAAAUUAGAAUUAUCCAACCAGUUAAGCUCAAAUCUGAACUGUAAAAAUUUCAAAGGUUUAUGAUAAUCAAAAGUUAUUAUUAAAGGAUUAUGAUCAGAAAUUUCUCUAGGGAGUCUCUUAACCAUAACAGUUGGAAAAAUAUUUUCCCAAUCUUUAGAAACCAAAAUCCUAUCAAAUUUUUCAAGAGUAGGGUCCUCUUAUUUAUUAGACCAAGUAUAAAGACCUCCGGUCAUGACAAUUUCUUUAAGCUCAUAGAAACCAAUCAGAGAGUUAAAGAGGUUUGAAAACUUAGUUAAACCAUGAGGUUUAUUCCUUUCAUUAGCAUAUCUAAGGAUGUUGAAAUCACCACCUAUCAAAAUGGGGUUGGAAUUUUGAGAGCAAAAAGAAGAAAGUUCAGAAAGGAACUCCAUCUUUUAUCAUCAUGUGCAGCUCCAUAAACUAUCAGCAGAUUCCACUUCACUUUAUUACUUUUAUCCCACAAAUUCAUUUGAAGCAUGAAGUCACCCUGUUGAAAAGAUCCAACAUCAUAAAAUUCAUUUCUCACUCCCACUAGAAUACCACCAUAUAUUCCUUUAGAAGGAUUGUAUAGGCACAAAUAAUCCUUAUUUGAAUCAAACUUCCUAAGAACCUUUUCAUCACAUUCUUUAGUCAUAGUUUAUUGCAAUUCAAUAAAAUGAAAACAAUUUUGAAAUAUCAAAUCUUUAAGAAAGGUAGAUACCUCUUUUUUCCUAAGACCUUGACAGUUCCAAAUUAAACCAUUGAAACUCAUGAUUUAAAUUUAUUUGGAUUUUGUGGGACAUAACCUUACUAGAUUUCCCUCUUCUUUUCUUUAGAUCACCAGGAUUUUCAUGUGUGAUUUUCUUACUAUUUUGAGAAGUAGGGAGCAUUAAACUUUUUCUACUUUCUCUUUUUUUCUUCCCUGAUUCACCAACAAUAAAAUCUUCUGAUUCAGAAGAUUCCUCAUGAAUCCACUCAAUAGCUAAAGGAACAUUAUCCUCUUGAGUCCCCUUAACUGAUUUAGUUUGAGGUUUUUGAUUUUUCAGCAUUUGCUUUUGAUACAGAUCAUCCCUAGUUUUCUCUAGAUCUCUUACUAGAUUAAAAGUAUCAAAAUUAUUAUCCUCAACCACAAAUCCCAUACAAGAGGUAAUAUGAACAAUAUUGUCAUCUAGUAAUGCAGAAAAGGAGUUAUGAUUAGAAGAACUACCUCAAGAUUUGUUUUUUGAGCAUUCCUCUCCACCUCAUCCACAUUUGUUAGAGGUGUAUCUUUCUUAAGCCGUUCACUUCUUCUUCUCUCUUGUACUUGAUUUGUUUCCUCAGAAUGCAACACAGAAUUAGAUUGAGGAGGAUCUUUAUCCCUCUGAGUACUACCAUCAACAUCCAUAUUCUCACUAUCUUGAGUGUUUAUAAUGUUAUCAUCAGAUAGGAAGAUUUUAGGAGAAUGUGUGCUGACAGUUGCACUCACACCUUCUUUUGUAUUAUCAUCAUAAAUCUUGUCAGCUAUCGUAUCAUGUGACAUAUCUUUGACAACAACAUCUGAGGUCUCACUCAUAAACCAUAUCUGCUUUGAAUUGUCCUCUUGUUCAUUUUUUGAAGUUUGACCACCCAUACCCGCCAAUAGACUCAAAUUCAAUCUGUUUGGCAUUAGCAUUACCAUUGGCCACCUUAAUAACAGUAGUACUAGCUUUUUCCAUAGCCACCCUAGGAUCAAUACACUCCUCAAUAAAGAAAAAAUAUUGUUCUUCUACUUGAGUAGGACACAAUUCAGGACCAUAAUUCCAGGGGAGGCAUCUUUAUAGUCAUAAGUAUUAUGACUGGUAAAGCCACAAAUCUCACACAACAUCCUAUGACAAUCUUGUGUAACAUUAUUAAAGAGACCACAAGACUCACAAGCAGCAUUCAUAGAUUUUCCCAUAGACUGAGAAGAUUCUAGGAUAUCAAGGGAUUGCACCUUACUUUCUUUUUUUGGAGCCUCCUCCUUUGUCACAUCAACAGCUUUAGGAUUCUCCUGCACUUGCUUGUCCCCACUAAGAGUACUCUUUCCUUCCCAUCUAUCUUUGAUUUCAUCUAAAUCUUGGGCUUGACUGUCCUCAGUAGCAAAGUUAUCUUCAUUCUUCUCUUCAUUACCAGCUCCCUCAUCUUUUUGCUUCCACGAAUUUAUCCUCCCCCAAAUCUAUUGUUACCUUGACCAUAUCCUAGACCAAAUCUUUCGUGUUCCUAAAUGAACCCACCACGCCCUUGUCCAUAGCCACCAUGCUCAAGACCAAAUUCACCUUGGCCUUGCCCAAAUCUAGCAUGACCAUAGCCAAAACCUCCACGGCCUUAACCAAAACAACCUCUCCCUGAGCCAGAUCCACCUUGCCUACCUCCUCCCGUGGCUGCAUCUCAACCACGACAGUGGGAGCCGGAUUGGCUCGCACCACCGCAGCAAACGAUCGAGGUUUAGCCCCCCUCCACAAGUGACCCAUGAAUCUGUAAGAUUUGUAUUAGAAGAAGCAACGGAUUUAGGGUUUGAUGUAUUUGGGAGAUCCCCUCUGACUCGGAUGGGGCUUAUAGGAUCUAGAAGCAGCGAGUGUUGAUAUUUGGUAACGCCAUCAGGAAAUGAUCCGCAAGCGCACGGAUAUCGGUGAGUAUUUCACCCGAGAGGUUAUCCAGAGUAUCGUAUUUAUAUUUUUACCACUGGGAGAAAGCGUGCAUCUAACUAACCAAAUCUAUUGCGACUACCCUUUAGGCUACAAAGAAUGUGACUCGAUGUGAGCGAUGUAUAGAGAAGACUGCAACCGUAGUCUCGUUCUAACCUUGGUAAGGAUGAUCUACUGUUCUAUUGGGGAAGCUUACGAAAUCUAGACACCACAAAGGAUGUUCGACCUACACCUAUAAACCCUACCCUUCUCGCUAACGAGAUGUGGGAUGCAAAGGUAACUCGGAAAUGUCACGUUCCUCGCUACUACAACGGUCCAGCUAGUCAGGGGAUAUCUAUGAGUACCCUAGCCCAAACACCACGUUUACGCUAGCAAUGAUUACUCUAAACUCAACCGGAAGAGAUUAAAGUAAACUCAUAAACCAAAGAACAUUAAAACAAGAACUUACUAGAAUUUAGAAGUCGAAUUACUGAAGAAUCCUAGGAGCAAGCCUCAGGUUAGGAGAACUUGAUCCCGCAGGUGCAACCUCAGAGUAGACACCGACAGGCCGGGCUUCCUCCGAUCUACACCUCCACUCUAUCUCUCUCAAUCUAGUAGAACUUAGAAAAAACUAAUUCUAUACUCUCAUUAGAUGCUAAGCCCUAAGUCUAUUUAGAGGAGAGGUUAUCCUUCGAGGGCUCCUCUCAACUCUAUGAUGAACUUGUUCUCCUCCAGGGGCUAGGGGGUCUGGUUAUAGAGUCCUUUCAAGUGAAUAUGGGCCGUUGGAUCAAACCAACAUUGAUUGAACGGUUAUCCUUGAUCCUUUAGGUCGGUGGAGCGUAAUCCCCAAAACAAGUCCUGAUUGGACUCUGGGACAGGGCGGGUGCCCUAGGGGGGAGGUCGGGCGCCCUGCCCCCGGGCCCGUUCGCCUUCCCGUUCGUUCCCGUGGCUUCUGGAGUGUUCUAGAUGACAGAAAAUUGCAUGGCACGUUAAUAUCUCUAUGUAAACCCGACGUGUGGGCCUUUCUUCUAUAUUUCCUGAUAACCCCCUAUAGAAAUAGCCAAACACCAAAACUCGUGGAAUUCUGUCAGAUAAAACCCUAAGUAUGGGUGUUGGUUGCAUUCGGAUCCUUUUCUUUAUUUAUUUGAUGAUUAUAUUUGGUACUUAAGGACCGUCAACAACUCCCCCAAGCUUACCUCUUGCUCGGCCCUGAGCAAGGAUGAACUCAAGAGUUUCUGCAGUGGUUUCAUGCCUUAAAAGUAAGAUCUCAUCUCUGAGUUAGUGUAAACUGUUAAGACUUAAAACUUACUCAUUUUACCUUUCACCAUGGGGCUUGUAACCGUCACUUGUGAAUUGAGCAGUUAAAAGAUAGAACGGUCAAGUUAAGUGCCAUGUCUCUUAUUCUUGAUCAGUUAUAGCUCUGGAGUUUUUGCAGAUUUUUCAAAUAAAACUCAGAGAUUCCUUAUAUGACUCUCUCAAAUCUCUCUUUUGUGGUAUUUUUGGAUCCUUUCUAAGGCAGUAAUGGUGUAUGCCUUCUCUCAAAGUAUGUGGUAUUUUUUGGUAUGAGGCAUAGUGAUAUUGCCUUCUCUCUCAUCCAACUCUAAUAAGGUUUUGAUAUCUUGAGCUCAUAGGUGGGAGACAGCUAAUACAUACUUACAAGACAUUUAUUACAUAGUCAAACCAUGGAUCCAGAGAAACAAGUCAAUAAGUCAAAUCAAGAUGUGCAUGUGUGUG
rnacentral:lncRNA from 1 species